CGAAAUUGAUCAAUAUUAUUUAAUGGUCCCACAUGAAAAUAGCCUUUCCAGCAAGUCCAUUCAAUUUUCACAAGACAUCCAACCAUAUCCUCAAGGAUGACCUCCCACCACACAAUCCUUGUACCACCUUAUCUCAUAUAUAGAUAGGAAUGAUCAACACUUACAGAAGUAUAUAUUAAGCAAGCAUGAACAGUAAGUAAAUAUAAAGCUGAAAGCAAAGAGCAUAGGUAUUAUUAAAAGUGGUGGCGUUUACAUGGCCACCAACGAUUAAAACAUCCGACGAUGAUGAUACACCAUAUCCUCAUACAAUAUUCCAUUGCAUUACUCCAUCGGAGACUUCGAAUAAGCAAAGAAAAAACAAAAAACAGACACAAAAAAUAAAAUUCCACAAGGGUCCUAAACAUGAGAGUGAAAAAACAUGGACAUCAAAUAUUGCGGAAACAGGAUCAGCUGGGCUUGUAGGCAAUGAAAGCGAUGCAUUGCACUUGGCGGUUAUUGUCGAAUCCGAUGAUUCGGAUGUGGGCGUCAGGGUACGCGGUCCUGGCUUCUUGCACCUCCUUAAUCACCUGGGCUGAGUCAGUGCACCCGAACAUGGGCAGCUUCCACAUGGUCCAGUACCUUCCGUCGUAGUAUCCUGGCGAUCUGUUGUGCUCUCUGUGGGGGUAUGGGUACUGCAUUCACAUACAAAAUAAUAAUCCAAUUAUUCUACAAAUUAAACCUCUAUAAUCCUAGUUUAAAAGCUUCACAGAAAAGUUCAUGAAAAUAACCAGCUUGGUGAAUUCCAAGCAAGGAAUCCAUUUCAUGCGGAGAAGGUAAUCCACUUCCUUGCAUAGCUGUUCGUCGUUGAGGGGUGGGAGGUAUGAGAGAGUCUCGAACUUCAUCAACCCUUCUGUAGGCCAAACCUGUGGUUUUCACAUGUACAAUAUCCACAGUUUAAUUCAUCAUAUAUAAAAAAAUAAAAAAUAAAAAAAACCCAGACUACUAAUGUCUUCUAAUUGAAGUGAAGUUGUGACUUGUGAGGCAGGGUGGUGGCAGUACCUUCAUGCAGCGAACUCGGCCACCAUUGCUAGCGACGGAGGUGAUGUCGGUGUUGGCUUUUCGGGUGCCAGGGAAAGUCGACAAAGAUUUGAGUCCGGUGAAGGGGGCCACCAUGUUGGCCUGAGCCGGGGUAGCACGGUUGAUUGUAGCCACGGUGGCGGAGGAGACCAUGGAGGAAGCCAUUUUCGCCUUUUGGGUUUUGCUAACACCACCACUGCCUUGUGAGUUAUGGCUCCUGCUUACCCCAUCCUAUAUAUAAUCCUCCGAGCUUUACUCUCUUCUCUAACUGGCCUCACAUUUGCAUCCAAGGGCUGAGGGUCGAGGGGUCUGGGGUUGGAGGCCUUUGGGCCGUUGGAUGAUACCAGGGGAUGACAUGAAAAUUUCGAUGGCCACAUAUCAGAAUUGGAUGGGUGCCUUAUCGUUAUGGCACCCCUCUCGGAGUGUCGACACGUGUCGACACCUCAUUAACCUUAUCUAACGUUGUGAAGAAGGUGAUUGUGUGAUGUUUUCUGGCCCUUCGUUUCUGGGGUGACUGCCGCUCUUCGCCCAUGGAUAUUUGGAGUUUUGUUCAAUUACCUAAUUGCCCAUCUGGGAUUUUUUUUCAAAUAUUAUUUUUUUAUUAUUAUUAUCAUGUUUUUUUUAAGUGAUGCGAUGAGGUAUGGAGGUACCAUGAUAAGUAAUGGUGUGACUGCAAGCCAUCAGAUCAGAGGGUCCCCCACUUGGAAUAUUGCUCCAAUUCUACGACUAGGUGACUAACACUCAGCAGCCCUUUAAGCGGAGGAAGAAAUGUGACAGUUUCUAUAAGUGGAGGAAGUCUGAAUUCUGAAAGGCAUCGAUAAGGCCUUAAAACGUAUCUAUUGAAGGCAUAAAUCACUAUGUUCUCUUUUGGCUUACCCCAAAAAAAAACACACAUUCCCUGAUUCAUGUAUUCUUACUUCUCAAAGUCCUCAUUUUGGACUAUUUUACAGGCUUUCUUCCUAGAAUUUCAAAUUCAAAUUCAAAUUCAAAUUCAAGAUCAUAAAGAAGCCUCCACCACUCAAGGUUUAUCUUCUCUCCUAAAGGGAGAUGAUAUUUUGCCAUACAAAGGUUUCAGGACCUCCAAAAGAAAACGGUACUAAUUUUGUGUAAUUUCAGUAUGCUUAUGAGUUACGACUCAACUCAAGUCCCGGUUGGUGAGCAUCACUUCUAAAAAUGUAGUGUUGGGUCAAUUUGUUAGGUGGACCAUCACUUCUCCACAGAAACUUCUAGCUCUUCUCUGCACUUGUGGCCUCUAUUCUUUCAUAUAAGAUGUAAAUAUUCUCACUAAAUAAACCCAAAAGAAAAAAGAGAGAAAAAAGAUUGGUGGAGGUUGUUUUGGAGGAGGGAUCCCUGUGAUCCACAUGUAACAAUCAAGGUUUCCAUUCAAGUUGAUGGAUAGGCCUGUGUGCUAUAACAAAAUCUUGUGCAACUCCACCACAAAUUCUCCAAAUCAAAUCCCACUGUCAAGCCAAGCAACAUGCUCCAGAAAGCGAAUUCUGAAACCUUUUCUAGAUCAGUGACAACAGAUGUGUUUGUGUUUCUUGUUUCAAUGGAGAAGCCAAAGCCUCUUUAAGACGUAUUAGUGCUGUGACAGGAAAAAUAAACUCAUGUUUUGAUCUUGUAGAAGAGAUUGAAAAUGCAUGAUGUAUUGUUUAUAAUGCUGGUGUAAAUAAUGAAACUGUUAGAAAGGGAUUGUAGGGAAAUUGCUUGUGUUGAAGAUGAUCCUUUGAAAUCAUAGUUUCUGCCUUACCUUCAGCUUCAGGCUAAACCCACAGGCAAAAAUGGCAAGAGGAACCUUCUAACACUCAUUUUCUCCCAUCUGCAUUGGGAGGGUAAUACCAAAAACUAAUUUAUGCGGAUUAAGACUGAUUGCGAGAGGAAUAUGACAUUCAACAGGGAAUACAAAAAUCAUAAACUGAAAAGUUUGUUUAUUAAAUCCAAUUAAAUAUGACAUUGCCCACCACGAAAAGCAGUGGAAUACGAAGAAUGACUUCCAAUAGAGGAGCUUCUGUACAGUUAUAAGCAGGAAAAAAAGAAAGAAAAGAGAAAAGAAUUACAUGGAAGUAGUGAAGUACAAACUGCAUAACCAGGAAAAAAUAUGCAACUGACUUCCUUCUAAUUUACUGCCAUCGCCUAGGAGGCUUGGUGAAAGUAGAGCUUCCAGUGCCACUGAUAGUAGCACUUCUUCUCAUUCCUGAGAAGAGCAGUUACAGGGAAAGAUAAGAGAUUGAAGGAAUAUUAUUAGCAAGUAGCAAUUGAUCCCAAAAACUCUAAUAUUUUACAUACCUGUUGCCGCCUUUGGAGAAUCCUUAAGAUGUGAUGGUGGAGGAGAUGAAGUUCGCAAUGUUCUUUGCGGUGGUCUUGUUAUUCUAGAGGCUGGUUUAGACCUGUACAAAAUAAUUUUAGUUCAGGUUUUGGACUUGGAUUCAAUUCCAUCAGUAUACAAGUCCAUAUCAAAAAGCCCCAAAAGUAAUCUCUACAUAUAGACAAAAUCAAGCAACAAAAUGCAGUAGGCUGCUGCUUUGGACUAGCUCAUUACAAGAACAGAAAAUUAUUUCACCCAAGUCAGGGGUAAAGAAUGGUUUGAUAUCUCAUGAUGGGAGAAUUAGUACCCACAUUGGUCAAGGUCCCAAGUUGAAGGGAGACAUAAAAUGGAUAUUACCACAGCAAAUUAUCAACACAACCAUUACUUUCCAAAAAAAGAUUUUGCAUAAAUAAAAUGAAUUAAAUGUAGUAGCAGACCAACUGAUAGAGCAUUCAGUUUUUUAAUAAUGAAGAAAAUUAAAACAGAAAAUUCAAGCUCUCUUUUGCAAUUUUCAUAUGUUUUACUCACAGAUGAAUCUUUGUAUCAACACCCAAAGACUGAAGUAAAGAAGAAAAAUACUCACUUCUCUGUGGUCUCUGAUGCUUUAGAUUGAGCAGGGCCAUUAUUUUCUGUUCGCAUAGGAAAACCACCAUCAGAUGUAUCACUUGAUCUCUCGUCACAAUCUGUCUCCCCAAAUCCUAAGGUCGAAGCAUCUGCAGGAUUAUUCUGACCUAUGUCCCCACCGGCAAGCUUUGAUUUCCGAAGGGAUUCAUUUGGUUGUUUAAAGUCUUCCAUGGACUGCUGGGAAUCAGCAUCAGAAUGCUUAUCACUGUAUUCUGAACUGUUGUCCUGAUCAGAAGCUGCUCUCUCAGCUGGUCCUAAGCCUUUCCCACCUGGUAGUUUCUGGCUUAGUUGAGCAGUCCCACCCACGAAAUUCCUGCUUGGUGGGGAAGAUCCAUACUUAAACGAACCUGUAACACUUCUCUCACAGUUGAGACCAGGAUGUACAUUUUUGAGAUCUUUAAGUAGUUGCAACCGUUCGAUCUCCUCAUCUUUUUUGGCAAUUGUGUCUUUGAGAGAUGCCACCUGCAGGAUCAAUAAGGUAUUUAGAAAACAAGGAACUACCAGUGCCUUGAAAGAUGAUUACUAGUUUUGAUGUUUAACUAAAAUUGAAAUGAGUAAACAAGCAGGUAUAUUCGGUAUGAAAAGACCUAGAUGGAAAUCAGAUGAUAGAAAAUCCACCUUUUCACAUGUGCACAUAUAUCAGUAAUCAAUCAAAAAGGAGUUCUAAUGUAUAUAAACAAAAGAACAGGGUACAGUGUAUUGCAAGAGCACAGUACAGGGCGUUCAAGACCGUCUUUGAAUGCACCUCAAUAUGAUCACUAGACUCCAAAGCUCAAGAAAAAUGGUGUCCCUCCUCUUAAGCAUAUAGCUCCAGUUAAGUGAUAAAUAGAAAAAUGCAAAAAGCACAUACCUCUCCCAAGUGUUUUCAAAUAUCUCUUUCUUUUCAUCUCCAAGUGUUCCUAUAUUCCUUCUUGUUUUGUGUAUGUACCAUGUAUACACAUAAAGAUAUAUUUGUGUAUUCUGUUUUCAAAACCAAAAGCCAAAAACAUUAUCCCCUCAUUUCCUUAUAGCAAAGGGUCAAUAAUCUCGAACUUAUUUUUUCACCUUCUAAAACAUUGGUGUGGAGGUGACAAAAGCAGGGUCCACAAGGACUCAUUUGUAAAGCAAAUCAAUUAUCUAUGACAAUUUUCCUCCUAGUAAAUUGUUGUUGAACAUAUGAAAGCAGUAGCCCCUAGAAAUCAACUGAUAUUUUAUGUAACCAUGUGACCCGACAACUAGAGGAGUAAGAUCUCAUACAUCCUCAGCAAUUAUUUUGAGAUGAAUGUCUGGAAUUAAAACACAGUCCCUAUUCUGAACGUAAGCUGAAUUGGAUAAUAACUGAAAGAUUGAUUGAUCGCUCUGCAAGUUAAGAAAGAGCAAGGGAAAAGGAAAACAAAAAAAAGAAAAAAAAGAUCUUGAGGUCCACUGAGAAAUUAGACCUACUCAACUACUUGAGUAAACCUUAUAUAUUUCUAUAGUGCUUGCAAUACGUCUUGAAAAGCAUAAAAUUCUAUUUAGCACCAUGGCUAGUAAAUAUUCAACAAACUGCUACUUAAAUGAAUAUGAGAACCUGAUCCAUUAAUUCCUUAACGUCCCUGCCCUCUUUGCUACUCCGUGCAGCACCUAGCUCGACUCCAGAAACCCUCUCAGCAAAUUUCAAAGUACUUGCAGUUUCAGAAAAUGAAUUCACAUCAGGAUUAAGCUGCACAAACAUAAGAGUCUUUGCUUGACCACCUGUAGUUUAUAAAGUAGAAAAUAAAAAUCCGCUAUAUGAAGUUCAAAAAGAGGACUAUUGGGAGCUAAGGAAAUAAUUUAGAGUCCUGACGAAACAAUAAGACAGGUGAAGGGAUUUAUUGCUAAAAGCAACUGGAAAACAGUGAAGUACCAAGAGAACUCUGAAGGACUUGAGUAAGCUUGCUGUUUCUGUAUGGUACAUGAGAGCUCUUCUGGGCAAGAGCAAAGAUAACAUCUCCAAGGGCAGAUAGCGAUUUGUUUAUAUGUUGUGCUUCCCUAAGUCUCUCUCCAGUUACCUCAGAGCGAUCUACCCUUUCACUUCCUGCAAGAUCCACCAAGUGAAGACUGCCACGCAAAGAAGCACCAGUCUUCAAAUCCGUCCCCCAAGCAUGAAUAGUUACAAUACUGCAAUAACACAUCUAAGUGAAGAUCAUAACAUGUAGAACAUAUACAGUCUGAAGAUGGUAAUAUCUAAAAAUGAAAUGACAACCUGUGGGAGCGGCUACUUCUUUCAUUCAUAGCAGUGGCACCUACAGAUCUAUUCUUUUGUCCAAUGUCCAUUAAUUCCAUUACAUCUGAGGUUGAUUUGACUGGGAGCAUGGUAGCAUCAGGAACAGCUAACCCAUGGGGCUGAGAGGUAGUCAAAAUCCCAAGUGUGUGCAAAUUAAGGAAAACAAAGGAUUUCAUGCCAAAACACAUGAAAACUAUUUUUCACUUAAUCAAACCCAAGAAGAAAAAGGCCAAGAUGCAGAAUUAACAAAGAUUUCAAAGAGAAUUAUACCACACCAGACAGAUAAAUCUGGAAAAAUCUAGAAAUGUAACUGGAAGAUUAUAGAGAAAUGUUUUAUGACAGUUAUCUGUCAGACAAAAACUAGUCAAUGGAUUAGGCAGAACAACUCAAAGCGAAAACAGAAGAUGAAAAUGAAUAGAGAAGGAUAUCCUUUUUACAUCUUUAUGCCAAAGAAUGAAAAUGAAUAGAGAAGGAUAUUUUUUUUGAGAACUAUCACUUGAUAGUAAAUCACGCACUUGUUCAUUGUAUAUUUCAACCAUUUGAACUCCAAUUUCAUACAUAAAUGAGCUUCUCCUGCUUUGAGUGAUCUCAAAGAGGUCACUUAGUGCACGAUAAUUGACACCCCAUUCCUCCUUGGAUGCUGCAUUGGGGCCAGUCUAGAGGAAAGACAAUACAUUACACAAGUUUUUAUUGAAAAUAUCAACACAUAUGCCAUGUAGACUAAAACAUAUACAAGUUCAUACCAUUGUGUAUGUCUUGCCCGAACCAGUUUGACCAUAAGCAAAUAUACAUACAUUAUAGCCAUCAAGAACAGAUCGUACCAAGGGUUGAGUGUCAGAAAACACCUCAGCUACAAACAUUUUCCAAGCAUAAUAUGAGUCAAGCAUUAUAAUGAUUUCUUGAAAGAGAUCUAUUCAAGGAUCCAAAUUAUAAAAUAUAAGGAUGAAAAACCUUGAGUAGCAGCUGGGCCAUAGACCUUAUUGAAUUUGAACAACCGAUGACUGUCUUUUCCUUGUUUUGAGGGAUUCACAAUACCGAGCUCCCCAUCUUCACCAAUAUAUUCUAUGGUUGUCUGCUUUCCAUUCUGCCCACGGAGAAAUGGCCUUAUCCGGCAAUACACCCUAAUGUUUCCUAUCCAAGAAAUACAUGCAUCAGCCAAAAGAUGCAUUCAUAUAAAACUAGUCGUGAUUCCAACAGAGUUAAAUUGGGCAUGGAACCUUUUAAAUCUUGAACCUCAUUAUAAAGUCUCCUAUUUUCAGCAAGAACUGCAUGAUAGUUUUCAGAGGCAUCUACUAAUGCUUUUAGCUUUACUCCUGAACAACAGAAAAAUCGAUCUAUGAGAACAUGCUACAUAAAUUUAUAUAGAAUCAGGAGAACUUUGUAGUAACCAACCUCACCUAAGCAUUUAAAAUCCUCUGAAUAGCUCUUCUGUGUUUCCAAUACUUCUUUCUUGAUGGACUCGGAAGUGGACCUCAAUCCCUGAUUGUUUAUUCAAAGUUCCAGUAUAAAACAUGAGCAUUAAAUAGUAUAGUUUGAAAGGUCAAGAUCAAUUUGGUUAAAGCGGACCUGCAAGGCACUGAAUAGAAAAUUCACAAGUCUCAGGUAGCUUUGCUCUUUCUUAUCCCACCUUUGGCCUUCUAACCCAGAAUAAGCCUCAAGUUUAUUUAUCUUAUUCCUUGAAUCGGCUAGGAGCUGCUCAAGUUCCCUUGACCUCUUCUCAAACUCUGCUUUAUCUCCCAUACCUUGCUUUUCCAUUUCUGAGAAAUGUUCUUCAUAUGUCUUCCUGGCUAUUUCCAGUUCUUGCUUCAGAGCAGUAAUUUCGAUAUUAUUUUGAUCCUUCUCUUUGUUGGCUAUUUCAAGUUCUUGCUUCAAAGCUGAAAUUUCAAUGCCACUUUGAUCCUUCUUCUUCUUGGCCAUUUCCAGUUCUUGCCUCAGAACCAAAAUUUUAGAAUCAUUUGGAUCCUUCUCUUUCUUCCUUGCUAUUUCCAGUUCUUGCUUUAAAGCUGAAAGUUCCAGAUGGUAUUGCUCCUUCUCUUUCUUCCGGGCCAUUUCCAUUUCUUGCUUCAGAGAAGAAAUUUCAAGAUUUGUGUCAUCCUUCUCUUUUAUCAGUCUAGCCAUAUCCUCCUCAAGCUUCUUCUUGUCUUCCACAUUGGCCUUUUUAGUCUGAAAUAAAAAGAAAUAAAAUUAAAGACUUCAAAGGUAUCCAUACAACCAAGAAAGCAAUAUUAUUUUUUCUCAGGCAAACAAAAUAUGCACCAUGUCAUCUCAAGCAACUGAUCAACAAUUGCAGCAAAUUAAGAAUAGAAUCAAUUGUGAAUACGCCUUCCACUUCCAUCAUGAAAGGAGAAAUUUGAUAUAUCAGUGGGCAGUCAAACCUCACUAUUUCCAUCCUCAUCUUUAACAUCAUUUAACUUUUGAUUCUUAAUGAACACAAAUCAAGGAUAUCAAACAUAUUAAAGUGGUUGAAAAUUGUGAAAAGAAACACCAGAAUCCAGUAAAUGAAGGAAGAAGCAUUGAGGGAAGGAGAGGAUACCACAGGACUCAAGAUUUUUUUUUUUUUUAUAACCGAAGAACCUUCCAUGGCUAAGCCCUUAGGACUCUCCAUGGGAACUCAAACCUCGGGGUGCUAACCACCCCACAACAACCAGCACCGGGUAAAUUCAGAGUAUCAUCCAUAGUAGGAUUCAAACCCAGGACCAUGUGCAACUUACUAGGACCACACUUCCCAAUGUUCGCCCUAACCAACUAGGCUAUCCUGGCAGGGACCAUAGGACUCACAUAUCUGGCUGCACAUGUUUUCAUGUAAUGUUAACUAAAAUUUUACUAAAUCUUAGACUACCUAAAAGUUGUUUUAUGAAUCCUUUGUUUUAGGUGCAACAAAUUGAACAAUUAUGGGAAGCAAAAAGCAAAAAAUACACAUCGGUAUAUUUUGGAACAGAGAAUAGUCCCUAAAGGAUAUCAGAUACAGGAUGUUUGAAGUAAAAGAUGAAUAACAUAAAAGAGACUUUCUAAUAUCUCAAUUAAGAAAAAUGCUCACAGAUUAUAGCCAUACCUUUAUCUGCUGGAGAUGAUUCAAUACAAUCUGCAGCAAAUAAUUUCAUUUGGUGAAUCCAGUAGUUGUACCAAAUAAACAAAAAGGCAAACCUGACAAUUUAGAAUCUUUCAAUACAACAUAUUUGAAGUACCUGGUUUUCAUCAUUAGUCCCAGUUGCAAGGGUUUCAAGUACUCUGAUUCUCGACUGGUAUUUCUCUUCCCGAGACUUAAAGAGAUUGUUUUGCUGCAGGCACAAACCAAUAGAAAAGAAUUGAUAUGGACUAGACAAUAAAAACCAAUAAAAGAAACAAAGUAAGUAUAUUACAGUUCUUAAGUGUUCUGCUUGAGUUGAUAUUCGCCGCUCAAUUUCCUGCACAACUUUUCUCAAUAGACAUGCCACACGCUGAGGAAAAAAAAACAAAAAAUAAAAAGCAUCCUCAGAUAAGUUUUUUAGCAUUAAAAAUGCAUUUAUAUUAUCAAUAUAUAUAUAUAUAUAUAUAUAUGCCUUAAUUUAACACCAGUUGCCCUCUCAUUGCCAUACGUGAGGUAUCUCUUCAUUCUUCCUUUCAACGCUUUCAUCUAGAAUUCCAUUCACAACACUCAAAAGUGACUGAGUUGGGGCAUUCUGCAAAAAUGAGAUGCUUGAAUGCAUUAAAGAAGCAUAAAACUGAAAAGACCACCUAAAAAAUCCUAAAUCUUGCCCAAUUAUGUCCAUUGACAACAUAAGGUGCCAUAUGACUUACAUCUAAACUGUUAGAUUUCAUCAUUUCUGUAAGCUUAGCAGCAGGAAUAUCCGCAUAGCGUCCUUGUUUCAGUUGAAACACCUCAUGGAACUUGUGUCCCACAUGAUAUAUUAAUGCAGCUGAUGGCUCUACAAAAAGGGGAAAAAGUAAGAUAACAACACUACGUCCAAAUAAAAUUAUCAUUAUUGAAGAGCAUCUGCUAGUUUUGUGUUGUUAGAAUACAAAAAAACUAUCCACUGUCUCAAUAUAGCAGAUCUCACUUCACAACUUCACUAUGGAUAAAAGCUGUUAUCAUAUAUUCAUAUGGCUGCAUUAGAACAGACAAGCACAUAGAGGAAUAGAGUACAAAAAAACCAUACCAGACUUGACAGGACUACGCAAAGCACGUUGAAAUUUGGAUUCUGAAAAACUCUUUUGCCUGUCUUCUCCACAUGGUGUAGGCCCACGCGAAGGAUCAUCCACUUGAGGACCAAUGUUUCCAGAUUUAGAAAAUGAACUACUGAAUGGAAAAUUAUUUCCACAUACAGUUGGUAUAGUGUGUGCUUUAAGUGUUAAAAUGCACUCCAAAACAGUCUUCAUAGAUCCCUGCAACAUAAAAUCAACAUUAUGAUAAAUGCCGAGAGCUCUGGUGAUGCUAAGAAAACAUAUACUCAAAUUCAUUUGAGCAAAUUAAUCAAAAAAAAAUUUGAAAUUCACUACUUCAACUUUGAGAUGUUUGCAAAUUGCUAAGAAAAUAAAUGUAAAUAAACCUACAAUGACUUCAGUGGGAGUACUACUAGUUUGUGUACAUAAUGGAUAGUAAUUCUUAUAAACAAUUGAUAGUAGGUCAUGAAAACAAUUGAUACCUUUUCCAGGUCUGCAAUUUCAAACCCGGGCAUCCCUAAUGCGUCCAAAGCCUCCAGAAACUUUUUAACAUUUUCAUAGCGCAUCCCAGAAGAAUGAUCAUAAUCACGCACCUAAAGUAAAAAAAAAAUGCACAUCAAAACAACAAUUCUAACAUCCAGAGAUGAAAUUCAACACUAACUGCAUCUAAAUGAACAAACCUCACUCACAGAACCAGGUCUCAGUCUGUUCAAAAACCGACAUAAAACAGCACCAUCAAUCAAGCAGGCCCUCAAUUCCUCUACUGAAGCUUUUACUGGCAAAUUUAAAUUAGGAAGCAUGGAAUUUAACCACUCCGCCACAAUGGCUCGCUUCUUGUCUGCAUAAAAGGGAAUGAAAUAAAUACAAAGUUCAGUAAAUUAAGAUGGGAAAAACAAAGGAAGAGAGGAGCAAAAUCACCCUUUCUUCACCUUUAUCAUCAGCAUUAUGAGUUGCCAUUGGUUCAAAAACAUCCCCAUUACCAGAUACUCUGAAACUGCCAAUUCCCCCAUAUUUCUUUGCGUUGUAAUCCAAUGUAGAGUCCAUGAUGAAAUACAAGGGAAGACAUCUAGCUUCAAAGCUCAAAACCUCAAACUACGAAAAAUAAGAAAAAAACCCCCCAGAUUGUUUCAAUAAAAUCCAAAGAAAUCAUUUGCAGGAAGAAGGGAACAAAAAGUUUAUUUAUCUCCAGACUUCCCCAGAAAUGCAACAAUCCUGAAAAGUUAUUAAAAAAAAAAUGUAAUCAUCACCACAACUUUAUUUCACAUUCCCUCAUCAACUCAAUACAUUAAACGAUGUUAUGCAUUAAACCCAUGGUUCAUGCCUGGUAAUGGCAUUAUUUUAAUUUCCAAAGGCAAGAGAAUCAAAUGCUUCUUUUGCAUGGUGAGCACGUAACACAACCCAUUACCAAACACCAACCAACCAUUAAGUCAGAGCUCAAACUCUGACUGGUAGGGAGCCCAAGCAGAAAACGGAAAUACAAAUAUAUUCACCUGCAUGGGUGGAAAAUGAGAGAGACCCAACUCAGAAAAGAUUUCAGCGAUGGCCCCUGGGCUCCUCCUCCAUCUGGUGUAGCUUCAAAAGUUUCAUUGGCAACAAGGAUUUCAAGGAAGAGAAGAGAGGAGAGAAAAUGGUGGAAACAAGAGAAGAAAAAAAGUUUGGAAAAGGCAUAAUGAAUGAAUAAAUAUUACAGAGAGAGGGAAGAAGAUCGAUGGACGGCCGGCCGUUUAAUCCUGGUCAAUCGUGGUUGAAAUGUGUUGAAAUUCAUACGUGGCCACGUACUAUACGGCAAUUAUAUAUUUUUUUUUUAAAUGUAAUAUUAAUAUUUUGAAAGAAAUAUAUUAAUAAAUAAUAAUAAGAUUAUGUUUAAUAUUUGAAUUUAAAACUUAGAGUGUUGAUUUUUGAAAACGUUUCUAGUUUUUUAAUAUUUUAAUAAUAAAAAUUUUAAAAUGUCAUAAAAUCAUUAUUAAACAGGUUCUUAAUUAAGUGAUUAGAGGAGUAUUAAAGGGACUUAAUUUAUUUUGUUGGUUAUAAUUAUUUUUAUAAUAAAAAAUAAUUUAAAAUUUGCCUAGACCAACCAAACUUAACCAAGAUCUAAUUUAAUGUUUUAUAAAUUUUACAAUAUAUUAUUAUUUAUAAUUAUAUAUUUUCAAAUAAUUAUAAAAGAAAAAUGUCAAUUUAAUUGUAUUAUGUAUUAUUUUAUUUUUUUUAAUAAAAAUAAAUUCAUUUUGCAUUUUUAUUAUUCUUAAAAAUAAUGUGUCAUUUGAUAUGAAGUGUAUCAAAAAUAAAAUCAAAAUACUAUCACUAAGUGGAAUUUUCUUUUUUUCCUUUUUUCUUUUACUUUUUUUUUUCUUUUCUUUUUUUUUUUUUUUUGUUAUCACAACGAAAGCUUUGAUGCAAACAUCGUUAAUCAAGAACAAAAGAUAAAAUAAUCAAUAUAAACAGUACACGAGGUUUUAACAUGGUUCGACCAACCAUGCCUACGUCCACGGAUAAGAUAAUCAUUUCACAAUACAAUAAAUAAUAUUACAUGACAGAACCAGAACAUUAGAGAUGACAUAACUAGAUAUAACUAUUGGGUUCUUCAAACAUGUCAUGUUUCCCCACUCUUUGUAUCUCUACCCUACCAUGAGCUCUAUCGCUUCACCAUGUACCUCUUGUUUUUCCUCAUAUCUCUAUUCACCUCAUAUAGUCUUUACAAACUCAUCUUCAAUUCAUAACUUUUUCUCUUUCAUAACCUAGAAUAUUUAUAGACAUAUUUCCAAUAACCUUUCUUAUUUUACAAGGAAGCCUAAUAUCAACCUAAAAAUAUUCUAUAUAAUAUUUUUUUCUACAAAAGAAGAAUAUAUACUAAUUAGGAAUUUGAGACACUUCUUAACAAUCUCCACAUUGGACCAAAUUCCAUAAAGUCAAUCUUCAAUGGCACAAACUUUUUUUUAUUUUUAUACCACGAGAGAGCAAUCAACUCCACCUUCAUUGAAAAUUUCUUUUGUUUUCAUCUUGUGUACUUUGUGAUCUUUUACUUUUCCAGAAAUCUUUAACCUAAGUUUUGAUACCGGUUUGUUGUGUCGGCGAAAGCUUUGAUGCAAUCAUCGUUAAUCAAUAACACAAAGAUAAAAUAAUCAACACAAACGAUAUACUAGGUUUUAAUGUGGUUCAACCAACCAUGUUUAUAUUGACGUAUAAGAAAUGAUUAUUUCACUAUACAAUAGAGAACAUUACAGAUGAUAAAACUAGAAUAUUAUAGAUGAUAUAACCAAAUACAAUUAUUGGGUUCCUGAAACAUCUUAUAUUUUCCCAUUCUUUGUAUCCCUACUCUACCACAAGUCUUCUCGUUCUAUUGGUACCUCUCGUUCUUCCACACAUUUCCCCUUAUGACCUAAAAUAUUUAUAAAAAUAUUUCCAAAGAACCUUCCUUAUUCUAUAAGGAAAUCUAAUAUUACAAUAAUAUAUUAACCUAAAAGUAUUCUAUAUAAUAUUUUUUUUUACAAAAGAGAAAUAUAUAUUAGGAAUUUAGGACACUUCUUAACAAUAUUAAUUUUAAUAUAACUUGAAUUUACCUUAUGUUUGAAAAUAUGAUAUUAUGAUACUAGAUUAAAAUGAAUUGAAAAAAUAUUUAUUAAUUUAGAUUGGGAUCUUCAAUGCAAACCCAACUUAAUCUAAUCUAAAUUCAACCUUAUAAUAGAAUCAAAUUUAAAUUCAUGAAUUUGAAUAGAAGCUAAACUUAAUAUUAAAUUAAAUUAAAGUUUUAUAAUCCAAGCAAUAUCUUUUGUUUACUUUAUACUCUUAAGAAAACAUUAUUUUUUUUUAUCAACUAAAUUUAUUUUCCUAAUAAGCCAUUUUAAUUUCCACAUUGGACCAUGAAAUAAGAUAAAAAAAAAAAAAAUACUCCUUUACGAUAGGACAUUUUGUUAAAAAAUGGUGGUUGUAAAAAUAAUUUGGGUGUAUAAUAGUUUAAAAAAUAUUUUUAAAUGUAUGGCUAAAAUGCCAAUGAAAAAUCGUGUUUUAAAAAGACAACUUGGCUUACAUCACAUUGAAUUUAUCUUUUGUAAAAACCAUUUCAAUAUAAAUUUUAAAAUUUAAAGUUAAAUUUUUUAAAAUAUAACUUUUAUUCAAUACUUUUUCAACUACUUAUUUUAAAAACAAUUAUGUAAAAAUAUAAUAUUUUUUUCCAAAUCCAUGACGUUUAUAACCACACAAGGAAAAUAAUUUUUUUUUUUAAAUAAUCAUAUCAUCAAUUCAACUAAUUUUUAUAAUAAUUCCUAUAAAUUUUUAUAUUUAAUAAAUAGAAACCAUCUGCUUGCGACGUCAAUAUAGAGCAUGGGAUGUGAAAUCAGUUGAUUGAAGGUUUAUAAUAAUUCUCAUAAAUUUUUAUAUCUAAUAAAUAGAAACCAUCUGUUUGUUCGGAGAAUGGAAUGUAGAAUUCAUCAGCUAUUGAUUGUGGUUAUAAAUUUAUCAGAUAUAUAUUAAGUAGGUCAGUGGGUGCAAAACCCCAACUCAAAACUGGUCUAACAGUCCAAAAAUCCCAAUCUCUUAGACAACCUCUGGCUGUGGGAACCUACAUGAAACUUAUAAACAAUCUUUGCUAUAUGUUUUGUUCAGUCUUGGAGAGUUGAGACUUGAUGAAACCCAAUAAUGAUGAAAAUUGGCUUUUCUCCCUGGGCUCAUCUUUAAUCUCAGCACCACAAGCAAAAUUGUAGGCAAACACCCUACACGUAUGAAAAACAAAGAACAAAAAGCCAUAUAAUACUUAAUGAAUUAAUCAGUAAUUAGAAGAUGCUAUCCUUUAUGUUUCCACCAGUAAGCAGACUGAAAAAAGGAUCUUCCUUGUUUUCAUUGUCACUUUUGAUUUCCUCAACAGGGAAAAAGGGUGUGGUAGCUGCUGAUACUGUAGGUCUCUUCACGGAGACAAAAGCCACUUUAUUGCUUGAAUCAAAUUUACGUUUUAAAGGAUUUGAACUCGGAAAUGAGCUUGUGUGUGGAAGCAAGCCUUGUUCUGGGAGGAGAUUCUCAAUAGAGGAUCCUUCAACUUCUGAACCAUUGCUAACUUGCACACUAUCUUCAACCCGCUUCCCAUCAUCACUUUCAAGGGAAGGAUUCACCAGUAGAGAUUUGUCCUCACUGACCAGAGUUGGACCCUCUUCUGAACUGUGGAGCAUGUCUGUCUUCUUGGAGCCAAGUUCAUCAUCUACACAAAAGACAAAUGUUACAGAACUGGGCAAGAGAAAUAGUAGCACCAGAAUACAAAGCAACAGCAAGAAACCAGAGGUUAAGGCAGCUGCAAAUAAAUUAUGAGAAUUGGAAAUACUCAUUUGCAGCAUGCUAGCUUGUUUAGCAACAAAAUAUAUAAAACUAGCACCAAAAAUCCAAUUGACAAGCCUCGAGGAAAUUUUCCAUCCAGUCAAAGUGUCCAAGUUGCAGGAAAUCAAUAGCUUCAGCAUAACAACAGGGCUCUGUUGUUUCAAGAAUAAAUGUUAACUUCCUAAACGUCUCAAAUGGAACCCAACACAGCAUCAUGCCUCUGGAAGCAACUUUUCAUAGCCUCCAGAAAAGUGAGCUCAAGCUUGAAUUCAAGAGGACGAAAUUGAAUCUUCAGCUAUAAACUAAAACAUGAUGUAGCUCACUUUAGCUUCUGUCAAGUCUAUGUCUAAAGUAAAUCAUCAUAUGUCUGAGGAUUAAAUAGAUGGUUAAACAGGAAAAUUGAAUCAUUUUUUACCCUAAUGAAUAUUCUUGAUCAUGAAAUAGAUGGAACCAUUCUUAUCCAAUGGUCAUUGGUAAUGUAUCUGACAUUAAUCAGUACUUAUAAAAAUAUGAUAGAAUAAGUAAAAAUGUUGAAUAUAAUGUAUUUAUAGUAUAUUAUCUUUCCUUGUUAAUAUAGGUCACAUGUAUGGUAGUUAGGACUCCUAGCCUUGUAUAUAUAUAUAUCUCAAUUGUAAGUAGACAUUACAUGAAUGAGAAUUAAGGUUUUUCUCCUUUCUCUCUCUCUCUUUCAACAUGGUAUCAGAGCCAAGGAAGAAAACCUAAUUCUUUCCUGUUUCCCGUGUCAUCAACUCCGGGAAACCUUCCGGUGACUGUGUUUCUUUCCGGUCACCCUCCCCAUCUCCCAACACUUUCCGGUCAGUCGGAUCAUCGUUAGAAACCACUCACCGCCGGCAAAAUUUUCCGGCAAAUUUUCCGGCGAACUUUCCCGGCGACCUAUUUUUCCGACACUGACCAUACCAGAAGGAGCGCCUGGAGGAGAUCUCCAACUUUUGUGAAGGCACCAGCAUCAAAAGAGGAUCCACGCGCCGGCGACUGCAUCUCACGCGCCGGCGACUGCAUCUCACGCGCCGGCGCGUGAGGGCGCGUGAGGCCUUUUCCGGCGACGCGCCUCCUCCUCCAGCCUCGCCUGCCGCCGACCAGCAUCCCUACCUACCUGGUUCUCCCAUCCGAGCCCUGCACGUACCUCUUUUGGGGAUUUUUGUCUCCGUCAGCCCUCCAAACAACCUUUCCGGCGAAGUUCCGGCUACUUUCUCUCCACCCCAAUCCCUGCACGUGCCUUGGGAAGUGUUCAUCUACCUUUCUGGUGGUACCACGUCGCGAUCUGAGGCCGUCUCCCUUUUUCGGUGGUGCCACGCCGCAAUCUGAAGCCGUAUUAGGGCUCUCUUCGAUCCAAAUACGUGAAUAUGACCACCAAAAAUCAGAUCUUUACCUCUGUUAUCUCUGGAUCUCCUAUGAUUACCUCAGAGAAAUUGGUUGGCAGUGAAAAUUAUCUUUCCUGGUCUGCCUCUGUUGAACUUUGGUUUAUGGGUCAAGGAUAUGAGGAUCACUUGGUUUCCCAGGAGGCAGAUAUCCCUGAGGUUGACCGCGUACAGUGGAGGAAGAUAGAUGCACAGUUAUGUAGUGUAUUAUGGCAAUCGGUUGAUCCCCGGAUUCUUCUUCAUCUUCAGGCCUAUAAAACUUGUUUUAAAUUUUGGACUCAAGCCAAAGGAUUAUACACGAAUGAUAUCCAGCGUCUUUAUAAGGUGGCUUCUGCUAUUGUCCAUCUCAGCCAACAGGACUUGGAUCUAUCUACUUAUAUUGGUCAGAUUGCCUCUCUUAAGGAGCAGUUCUUGACUGUGAUGCCUCUUACUCCUGAUGUUGGGGCUCAACAAACACAGCUUGACAAGUUCUUCAUGGUCCUUACUCUUAUUGGCCUCCGUCCGGAUCUUGAGCCUAUUCGUGAUCAGAUUCUUGGUAGUUCAUCAGUUCCGUCCUUGGAUGAUGUGUUUGCUCGCCUCCUCCGUAUCUCGUCCACUCAGACUUUGCCAUCUGAUAGCGCUUCAGAUUCUUCUGUGUUAGUUUCUCAAACUACCUCUCGAGGAGGACGCAGUGGUACCCGAGGUAGAGGCCAACGUCCUCAUUGCACCUAUUGCAAUAAACUUGGCCACACUCGCGAUCGUUGCUAUCAGUUACAUGGAAGACCUCCUCGCACUGCCCAUAUGGCCCAGUCCUCUGAUUCUCCGCUGCCUCAGCCUCCGAGCUCCUCCGCAUCUCAGACAUCUCAGGCUUCUAUUGCCUCUGUUGCCCAGCCUGGUAAUGCCUCUGCCUGCCUUACCCACACAUCUUCUCUUGGACCCUGGAUUCUAGAUUCUGGAGCAUCUGAUCACCUAUCUGGUAAUAAAGAUAUUUUCUCCUCUAUUACUACUACCUCUGAUUUACCUACUGUUACUUUAGCUAAUGGUUCUCAAACUGUGGCUAAAGGUAUUGGUUUGGCCCUUCCUCUGCCUUCUCUACCUCUCACUUCUGUCCUUUAUACUCCUGAAUGUCCUUUUAAUCUUAUUUCCAUCAGCAAAAUCACUCGUACUCUUAAUUGUUCUAUUACCUUUUCUGAUAAAUUUGUGACCUUGCAGGACCAGAGUACGGGGAAGACGAUUGGCAUAGGACGUGAGUCUCAAGGCCUCUAUCACCUCACCUCAGAUUCAUCUCCUGCAGUUUGCAUUUCCACUGAUGCUCCUCUCCUCAUUCACAAUCGUCUGGGCCACCCUAGUCUCUCCAAGUUCCAGAAGAUGGUUCCUCGUUUUUCCACUUUGUCGUCGCUUCCGUGUGAGUCAUGUCAGCUUGGGAAACAUACUCGUGUCUCGUUCCCAAAGCGUUUGAAUAAUCGGGCAAAGUCUCCUUUUGAGCUUGUCCACACUGAUGUUUAGGGUCCUUGUCGGACUGCGUUUACUUUAAGAUUUCAGUAUUUUGUCACUUUCAUUGAUGACUAUUCUCGAUGUACUUGGUUAUUUUUAAUGAAAAAUCGAGCUGAGUUAUUUUCUAUUUUCCAGAAAUUUUAUACUGAAAUCCAAACCCAGUUCAAUAUUUCUAUUCGUGUGUUACGCAGUGACAAUGCCAAGGAAUAUUUUUCAGCCCAAUUUACUUCGUUUAUGUCUCAUCAUGGGAUUCUUCAUCAGUCUUCUUGUGCUCAUACUCCUCAACAAAAUGGGGUAGCUGAACGCAAGAAUCGACAUCUUGUUGAGACAGCUCGUACUCUCCUCCUCUAUAGUCACGUUCCUUUUCGUUUUUGGGGGGACGCUGUUCUUACCGCUUGUUAUUUGAUUAAUCGUAUGCCCUCCUCUGUCUUACACGAUCAGAUUCCUCACUCCCUUCUUUUCCCUGACCAACCACUUUAUUUCCUUCCUCCUCGUGUCUUUGGUUGUACUUGCUUUGUUCAUAUUCUCACUCCUGGACAGGACAAGCUUUCCGCCAAAGCCAUGAAGUGCCUCUUCUUGGGAUAUUCCAGACUUCAGAAGGGUUAUCGUUGCUAUUCCCUUGAGACUCAUCGAUACUUUAUCUCCGCUGAUGUCACCUUCUUUGAGGACUCACCAUUCUUUUCCACCACUUCUGAGUCUCUUCCUGUUUCUGAAGUCUUGCCCAUUCCCAUUGUCUUCCCACCUGAUGCUAUGCCCCCUCGACCACUUCAGGUUUAUCAUCGUCGCCCUCGUGUCGUUGCUCCUCUCCCUUUUCCUGAGGCACCUGCUGACUCACUUCCUAUCCCUUCGACUUCACCUGCCCCGGCUCUGCCUUCUCCUAAUGACUUACCCAUUGCUGUUCGAAAAGGUACUCGCUCUACUCGUAAUCCUCAUCCUAUUUACAAUUUUUUGAGUUAUCAUCGAUUAUCUUCACCCUAUUCUGCUUUUGUUUCUGCUAUAUCCUCUGUUUCUCUUCCAAAGAGCACCCAUGAAGCUCUUUCCCAUCCAGGCUGGCGACAGGCAAUGGUGGAUGAAAUGGCUGCUCUGCACUCUAAUGGCACUUGGGAUCUUGUUGUUUUACCCUCUGGUAAAUCUACAGUUGGUUGUCGUUGGGUUUAUGCAGUUAAGGUUGGUCCUGAUGGUCAGGUUGAUCGCCUUAAGGCCCGCUUAGUUGCUAAAGGCUAUACUCAAGUUUAUGGUUCUGAUUAUGGUGACACAUUCUCACCUGUUGCCAAGAUUGCUUCUGUCCGCUUGCUUCUCUCCAUGGCUGCUAUGUGUUCUUGGCCUCUUUAUCAGUUGGAUAUUAAAAAUGCCUUCCUUCAUGGUGAUCUUGCCGAGGAAGUUUAUAUGGAGCAACCUCCUGGUUUUGUUGCUCAGGGGGAGUCUGGUUUAGUGUGCAGGUUACGCCGUUCUCUAUAUGGCUUGAAACAAUCUCCUCGAGCAUGGUUUAGCCGUUUUAGUUCUGUUGUUCAAGAGUUUGGCAUGCUUCGCAGUACAGCAGACCAUUCAGUUUUUUAUCAUCAUAACUCCUUGGGGCAGUGUAUUUAUCUGGUUGUUUAUGUGGACGACAUCGUCAUUACAGGCAGUGAUCAGGAUGGUAUUCAGAAACUAAAGCAACAUCUUUUUACCCACUUUCAGACCAAAGACUUGGGGAAACUCAAGUAUUUCUUGGGAAUUGAGAUAGCUCAAUCCAGUUCUGGUGUGGUCCUUUCCCAAAGGAAGUAUGCUUUAGACAUCCUGGAAGAAACCGGUAUGUUAGACUGUAAACCGGUAGACACACCUAUGGAUCCGAAUGUCAAACUUGUACCAGGACAGGGGGAGCCUUUAGGAGACCCUGGGAGAUAUCGACGGCUCGUAGGUAAAUUGAACUAUCUCACCAUUACUCGUCCAGACAUUUCUUUUCCUGUGAGUGUUGUUAGUCAAUUCCUACAGUCACCAUGUGAUAGCCAUUGGGAUGCCGUAAUCCGUAUUCUUCGAUAUAUCAAAAGUACACCAAGCCAAGGUGUAUUGUACGAGAACAGAGGUCAUACUCAAGUUGUUGGUUACACAGAUGCAGAUUGGGCUGGCUCACCCACAGAUAGACGUUCCACUUCAGGGUACUGUGUUUUUAUUGGAGGUAAUCUAAUAUCUUGGAAGAGUAAGAAACAAGAUGUAGUGGCCAGAUCUAGCGCUGAAGCCGAGUAUCGAGCUAUGGCUUUGGCAACAUGUGAACUCAUAUGGUUGAGACAUCUUCUUCAGGAGUUGAGAUUUGGAAAGGAUGAACAGAUGAAACUCAUCUGUGAUAACCAGGCCGCAUUACAUAUUGCAUCCAAUCCAGUCUUUCAUGAAAGGACCAAGCAUAUUGAAGUUGACUGUCAUUUCAUUAGAGAGAAGAUCGCAUCAGGAUGUGUUGCUACAAGUUUUGUCAAUUCAAAUGAUCAACUAGCAGACAUCUUUACUAAAUCUCUCAGAGGCCCUAGGAUUAAAUAUAUUUGUAACAAGCUUGGUGCAUAUGACGUAUAUGCUCCAGCUUGAGGGGGAGUGUUGAAUAUAAUGUAUUUAUAGUAUAUUAUCUUUCCUUGUUAAUAUAGGUCACAUGUAUGGUAGUUAAGACUCCUAGCCUUGUAUAUAUAUAUAUAUCUCAAUUGUAAGUAGACAUUACAUGAAUGAGAAUUAAGGUUUUUCUCCUUUCUCUCUCUCUCUUUCAACAAAAAAAAAAAAAAAAUAUAUAUAUAUAUAUAUAUAUAUAUAUAUAUAUAUAUAUAUAUAUUAAAACCAAGAAAAAUAAAUGAACUUGGAAAUCCCUCUUUUGAUAACAAGCUCAAUAACAUAUUCAUAUCAAAACCUAAGGCUGAAACUGACUUUUCCACAAGAGAAAAGCAAGGAGAGAGGGAAGGAAAAGGAAAUAAAGAACAGUAAUUGUUUUGCUCACCUGCAAGUAAAGCCUCAAUACUUUGAUAUUGUAUGGUUGAUGUUCCCAGAGAAACAUCUUCUCUGGGAUCCCCAUCUAGAUUUUUCAUCUCGAUUUUCUUGAUCCUCUCAAGCAAUACAAACUUAUCCGCUUCCCACACACAUUCAAGGGUGACAAAUUCUUCAUUUGUUGGAUAAUACUCCCUAAAAAACUGCACCAAUUAUCCAGAGAGAGAGAAAGAAGAACCUAAUUUUGAGUCAAAGGGUAACAGCAAAAAGAUAUUUACCAAAAGAAUUUGCCAAAUGUAUAGAGCUGCAAAACCAACCUCAAUUCCUGCUUGAGUCAAUUUUACAGACUGCUCCUUUUGGGAGAGAGAAGAAACCAUGUUGAAGACAGAAACAACAUCAAGUAGUGUCUGGAAAAAAAACAAAGAGCAAUCCUAAGUUUUGCCAUGGUGUCAACUAAAACAACGCACCAAGUAAUUCAGAUUGUCCUAUUAGGCACACUAAAUUAAGACACCAUACAGUCAUCCUUCCAACAAUGGCCUAUUCCUAAGAGUGAAUGGUAGUAAGCAAAUGCAAACAUUGGUGAAAAGAAAGCAUUUGUCCAAUGAGCUACAUCAAAGUCCCAAAUAACAAGGACAGACUUAUAUCUGUCCUUGCAACAUUUGACACCUUGAUUCCAAGUAAGAUUUUGCCACCAUCUCUUUGUCCAUCCAAUUUUUAGGGGGUGUUGCUGUGUCAUAUGCUUUGUAUCAAAACAAGGCACCCAGGCCCUCUUCAUACAACAUACAAUUUUCACCCUCUUGUUAUGUUGGCACUAGGAUGAGGCCAUCAGCUAGACCAUUGAGAUUGAUCACCUUAUUGCCAUAAACUAACAAGAUUCGAAAACCAAUUCAGAUUUUUUUUUUUUUUUUUUUUUGGCUAAGCAAAAACCAAUUUAGAAAUUUUAAUUCUUCCUCAAAAUGAAAGCAUACUUGCUGAACCAAAACUCGAAGGCGAGCAAGAAGAGCCAAGAUUGUUAGAGAGAAUCCCAUGAAAAAUGACCGAGCAAGCAAAGUAGAUAUCUCACUGUAGAAUAGUUAAGAAGAAAAAAUUAAUAAUUUAAUUUUCCCAAUUCAUCCCCACAUGAUCAAACCAAUAUUCUAAUACAAUGAUGAUGAGCAUGCAACCACUCAAAAUAGGAUGGUUUUAACAAGCCAAGACAGACUGAUAUUUGGCCAGUUUGCCUCAAGAUGGCAGAAGAAAUUGCAUCUAAAAAAAAGGUGCAAAACAUAAGAUAGAAAAAUCCAACUAUAUUUGAAGAGUGGAAAAGAUCAAAAGAGUGCCCUUUUCUUUUUCUUUUUCUACGAUCCUUGUAAGCAAAGGAAAAAAAAGGCACGCACACAAACAAACAAAGAGACAUGGUGGCCAACUGAUUAGGUCCAGAAAACCUAUCCCAGAAAGAUAUCUAAUUACUGGACUUGAAAAGGAAAUGGAAAUAAUUAAAACCUAGAGACCUGCAAAUAAUAUAGCGAAACAAGAAAUGGCAGAACAAAAAGAAAAUUUGAUGAACCAGAAAUUAAAUCUGGCAGAAAAGAGGAUCAUAGAAUUUUUUAGUGAUAAAAAACUAAAAAGACCCAGACCAUGCUAUAUGCCUUAAAAAAGAAAUAUAUAUGAUAAACCAAUAUUGCAUUACAAUUGUAUACCUUUAAACUAUACUUAAAGGCUUAUAUUUUGGAGAAAUACAGUUUCUGAUGAAGCUCAUAUUUUGGAGAAAUACAGUUUCUGAUGCAAACAAGUCUACUAAAACUACCAGGUAAGUAGAAAGACAGCUACACCGUUAUGAUGGGAAAUGAUUGGUAUAGCCCUUGUUUAGGAUGUGGUAAAAAAGAUGUGCUAAUUUAUAAGUCACUUCCACAACCAAUUCAAUCAAGUCAUUUUGAGAUCUAAGAAAACUAAUCAAAUGUCCAAAUUAGUUCUAUUAGUAUCACAAAAAGUCCCAUAACAAUAACAAAUUAACCAACUAAUGAAGGAUACAUAGCUGCCUUCAACAUCGGUUCCACCAUCUGCAACAGAAACAGAGAAAACAUUAGGAAGAGUAAGCACAACCUAAGGACUUAGUGGUUUCCUCACUACACAAUAUAUGGGAGAUUGUGUAAUCUAGCGUAUCUGAAGCUGCAUUGCAAGUAGCUGCCUCCUAGAUUUGACAUAAUAAAAAUACUGAUCUGAUAUAUGUAUCUGAUAUAUGGUAGCACUUGCACCAAUGUACCCUUUUCAAAACCACAGAAGUCAUAUUAGAAAAAUCUAACUUUUCCGAUCAAAGAGGCUUGUAUCAGAAGACAGAUUGUUGAAAUACCAAUUUGCAUGAUUAUACAAGGUGGCUAAAUGGUUGAACAGGAAAGACCAGCAAACACUGCACUUGCAUUUGGAUCAAGAAAAAGAAAGAAUCUAUUCAAAGACAUUCGGAUUCCAAUUGUAUUCAUUUAACAAUGUCAGCAAGGUUAAUCUUAGUUUAAAAUGCUAAAAAUAUCCCAAAGAAGUUAGGUAAGUUUGGAUUAGGGCAAGAAUGCACUACUGUGUCCCUUCUCCAAAAUUACAAAGCAUCUAACAUCAACAUUUUCCACUCCCAUGUGCCAAUUCUGGUGAAUAAUAGGGCUGUUUUUACUCCCCUUGGAAUUGAAAAUCCUGUAUUUACUAUCUUUGUAAUUUUUUUCUCCUUUUUUCUUAUGGAAUCUUUGUCCUUCUUAGUGUAUCCCUUUUAAAUUCAAAAGAAAUUUUCUUGUUUUCUAUUAAAAAUUUAUUGGCUGACAGUAAGCCAGAUUUCCUGGUGAGGUUGUACUGUGAUGAUAUCAUGUCAAUGUCACAACAAUAUGGCAUUUUUCUUCCUUUCCUCCCCCAUCUUCUUCAUUGAUACUCCCUCUACCAACACUUAGACCCUUGACUUUUCAGAUUAUUACACUUGUUCAGAGCUCAGAAAAAUGCAUGAAAAGCUGCUUUUGCAGUUCUUUCAGUGUGACCUGAAUAGUAAAAAAGGCUAAGUUGGGAUCAUGGCUGCUGAUGCCAUACUCAAGACAUAUCAUACAUAUGAGUGAGAACCCUAGGAGUACAAAUAUCUCUAAAUAAAAAAGUACACAUGGCAAACUGCAAUGGAGUAAUGCAUUAAGGAACUUAGUGAUAUCAUAGAAAAAGAAAAGUAUGUUAAUGACGAAUCAAGCUGACCUUUCCUUAACUGAGGGAGAUGUGACUGCUGAAGAAACAAUCAAAUGUGAAAAAGGAAGAAACAGGAUAUAAGAGGGAGGAAGAAAACAAAGAACAUACUUCAGAUAGUAAACGUGCAGCUCCCAGAAGCCGCUCCAUAAAAUUAUAUUUACCACCAUCGCCUUUUCUCUUCUUUAAACUGCAUAGAUAUAAAUAAAUAAAUAGAUAAGUGAAAAAACAAGCAAACAUGUGUGAGCAUAUGUAUGUACACUCAGAAACUUAUGAACAUCCUUUUGCUUCAAAGUACAUUAUUUAAAUCUCAACAUAGACAUUUACCCCUAUCAAAUAGUGAGUAAAUUAGAUGGGGAAAAAAUGAGGACAAACAUAGACUUCAGUUCAAAAGAGAACCAAACCAUCCCUCUGUAAAGCUACCACGUGAUGGUUUGAGAUAUUUGUGAUACUAUGCCAAAGCCCCAAUGUUAAAGGCAAUGUAGAAAUAGAUGGUCAAUCAAUUCUCCACUUCUCAUGCAUAAAAUGCACCAAUGAAGACUGAGAGACUUGUAGGAUCUGCUUAAUUGUAGGAUGUCAUUGGUGUUUACCUUUUUGUGUACCACUAACCUAGCAAAGGCCUUAACCUUUGAAGGGGCUUUUGAUUUUCAAACAAAUUUGGUCAAAAGGAACGGGAGUGGACUUGAGAAAUUGGACAAGGUCAAGAAAAAGAUUUUGUUGAGAAUAAACCUAAGAAUAUAAGUCUUUUAAGAUUUUUAAUUUCCAUGUCAAUGAAAUUGCGACGAAAGUUAAAAUUCUAAGAAAUUGGAGAGGAAUUAUCAAGGACAACUAAGAUGGUGAUAUUUUUUUUUUUUGAUAAAUAUCACGAAUAUAUUAAAGGGCAAAGGCCACCAAGCAUACAGGACGUAUACAAAUCUGCCUCAAAACGAGAGCACAAAAAAACACGCACCCUUACCCUCCCUUAAGUGGCCGCUAGCCACUCCAAAAAACCUAAGAGUGAAGAGGACUCCUCUCCAAUAUACACCCUAGCCCAACUCCACAAGGUACAAACAAAAUAAUUUUUGAGUUUCUGUAUAUUUAACACCCCUCCCUUUAAAGCUAACCUAUUCCUUUCCUUCCAUACCGUCCAAAAAAUACACAACGGGAUAGAAUUCCAAUUUUUUUUCCUCUUUUUCCCCACAAAGGGGCCCCUCCAACUGAAUAACGCCUCCUUCACCAACUCUGGGAACACCCACUGAACCCCCACAAGGGCAAAAAUAAUUUCCCAUAAGGCCCUUACCACUAUACAAUGUAAAAGAAUGUGAUUUACAUUCUCCUCUUCACAACCACACAAAAAACAUCGGUUAGGAAACUGCCAGCCCCAUUUUUGAAGCCUAUCCAGGGUGAGAAUCUUCCCCCACGCGGCUUCCCAAGCAAAAAAAGCCGCUUUGGUUGGGACCUUGUGGUGAUAUUUUUCAAUGUGACAACUCUAUAGAGACCUGAAAAUUGUGAACACAAAUGGUUAUCACCCCACCACAAAUCUUCUCAGAAUUGAAUUCUCUCCCCGUUACCCACCACAACGCAAGAAUAUGAGGAAAAUUCCUGGCAGACUUGUGCAAUAGCCUUCUAAGGACAUCCUGUGACCAUCUAACCAGAAUGUUGGAGUCUCAUCCAUUAGGAUGUGUCCUAUAAAUGCUUGAAAUAACUUGAUGUCAUAGGCCACAAUUUUCCUUAGGGAACCUGUAUAGCAACUUCCCUAAAUGAGCACGAUUUCUCAAGGAAGUCUUCUCAAUUCCCAGAACUCCAAACUCCUUUGGCCUACACACUAUGUACCAACUAAUAAUAAUCUUUUUUACCCUCCCCAAUCUUUGACCAAAGAAAAUCUCUUUACAUUUUCUUGAUCUUUAAUCCAUUUGAUUUUUCAAAGCAUGAAUUCCAAACCAAAUGAACAUAGGAGUAUUUACUUGGAUGAGUUUUCAUAUAUGUACAAUAUUCUUCUCUAAAUUGAUUCUUUUUUACUUCUGGAAAUGCAGAGAAAAACCAUUUUCUUUUUUCUUUGUUAUUUUCUAAUCAAAAUUCAAAUAUAAUGUAUUCUUUAUCAAUUGUAAAUUUUCUUAAUGUUAUAAAUGAUUUUUUUUUUUGUUUUGGAGCAUCAUGUUGAAUUUGAGACUAAGUUGGAGAUAAUCUUGGGCACUGAUUUUCCUAACAAAACGGUCUUGGAAUAUCAUGUUGAAAGUUUACUCCUCAUAGUUCUUGGUUUCUAGUUCUAGCCAAGGUAUAACUAAAAGAAGAUCUUGAGGAAGAAGUUCUUGAUUUAUAUUAUUGACUCCUAGAUAUUAGAGAAGUGCAUUCAAUGGUUACUAAUCCUUCUUUGUCUUCAAGUUGUUUUCAAUUUUAAGAGUGAUUAAAUUUUUGAAGUCCCAUUUUAAUGAGGUUGCCAACUGUUCUAAUGGUUACCACAUAGGAACCAUUGUUGAUUCAUGUUCAUCGUUUGCUUGGAAUAUCAAAGUUUCUCUUUAAGGGAAGAAACCAAACAUUUAGGAUAGAGAGAGGUUGUCAUAGCUUUCUAAUAUAUUGAUUUGUCAAAAAGUAGAUUCACUCUAACUCACCAAGAACUAUUCAAGAUAAGAUCUGUUGAUUUGCCAAAAAGCAAAUUCCCUUUAACUCGUUAAAGAGUUGUUCAAAAUAAGAUCUGUCGAAAGCACAUUCUCUUUAGCUUGAUGAAUUUCAACACAAGCUUAAAACAUUUUGAAGUUUGUUACUCUGAUUAUUAAAAGACCCUCUGCAAGGAAACCAUUGACAAAAAAAAUUAAAAAACCUCUUUGAAAUCAAACCUUAUUAUCUCUUCUCCCCUUAUAUAUAUAUAUAUAGAUUUCUUUCGUUGUAUACCUUUCAUAUUCCAUACUUCUCAACUGAUUUGUAAACUCUGUAAUCAAGAUCUUUGUAAGUCAAGUUUUUUUCAAAUAUUUUGUUUUUUUCAAGUAUUUGUUCCUAUUAUUAUUUUACUCUUUUUGUUUUUAUUAUGGUUUUACUAUUUUUACCUUGUUCAAUUUUACUCUAUUGUUUAAUUAUAAAGAUCCUGAGUAAAUGGUAUCAGAGCCAUAAGUUUUAUUUAGUUUAAAUUAAGUUGAAACUUUAAUUAAAUUAAACUAAGGAAUAGUGUUGAUUAGCCCAUCAAGCCAAGAUAUAAGGGGUGAUCGCAAAGAUAGUCUUACUAGACUUUGGAAUUAGUGAAACAAAGGUAUAACAAGCUUUAAAAUAAAUGAGUACUCUAUUGAGAAGGCUCGCACAUAAUAAGGGUACUAAUAGUUUCUCUAAAAUCGAUAAAAAUAUUAGCUCUCUAAAAACUUCUUCAAGACUAGAUAAUCCCAUGUAUCAACAAGGUAGCGCUUAUUUUAAGGGGCUACUUAUGGAUGCUAAAAGUAACAUUUGAAGGUCAAAUGCAACUUCUAGGAGUGUUUGGGUGGAAUUCUCAAAUGUAAGCCUCAUAUAUCAUAUUGGGAAAGUGGAGAGGCACAUGCUUUUCUUCAAAUUUAAAAAUGUAUAAAUUUCAAAGGAAACAUGUGUUGUAGGUUCAUCCUAUUCAAGCAUCUCAUAAUAAUUGUACGCAUCAAACCUUAUUUUAAUUCUUUCCAAAUUAAUACAAAUCAAUAUGUCCACAAUUUUGUGUGAUUGUGCAAGACAUGGAAUUUAUCUAUACAAGUAUAGUCCCAAUUAUGAAUAUCACAAGAUUGAGUCCUCUUAAGGCAAUCCACUAGUGAUUUUUUAGAUAUGAAAUAAUAAUAUGUAACCAUUUUGGUCCGUAUCUAUGCUUAGUGGACAAUACAGUAGACAUGCUUUUGCACCAACACAAAUGCACAACUCCCUAUAAUCUAAAUAUGCAAAAAUGGUAAUGCAUAAUUAUCUAUAUGUGUAGACUUUGAGUUCUAUGGAGGCAUAUUUGUUUAUUUAUGCAUUGUGCACAUGCAAAUCAAUGUUAUUUCAACUUAUCAUCUAUUUCAAAGUUAAUAGGAAUGAUAAAGUAACCAAAAUUCAUGCCACAUCAAUGCUUCAAGAAUUGUCACAAGGUAAAAUGAGAAAUACAUUAAGAGUGGAUCCUACAAUGGAAAUAUAAAACACACCCACCCUUCUCCACAUUUUCAAAACAAAUAAAAGGAAAAAUGCCUUUGGGUGUCAAAAUUGGAUUCAACAAGAGUUUCAUGUCAAUAUGUCUACAACCAUUUAUAAAAGUAUUUUGAAGCAAAAACUACGAAGAUCGUUACCAAAUUUGUCAUUCUAUUUAAGUUACUUCGCAUUCAGAUAUCAGCCAACAUGGGAAAACCAGCCUACCAAAUAAAUAAGGCAAAUAUAGAGAAUUAGAAUGUACCUUUCUAAAAGAUGGACCUUUUGUUGGGGUUUCUUUCCAUGGAUAACUUGAAAGCAUGAACUCAAAAGCUCUUCCAAGUUAGCUGAUUGCAGGAGUUUCAAGUCCCUCCUCACCUAAAACCAUAAACAAGUAUGGUAAACUACAAUGAACCCAUUAAAAAAUAUAUAGAUAGUCUAAUGCUCAAUUUGAUUACAGAAAAUUUAUAUAGGAAAAGAAAAGAAAUUGAACUUUUGAAAUUUGAUAAAAUCCACAGUUUGAAAACAAACAUAUUUCAGCUAUAUGUCUUAAUCAUGGACAAUUUCACAUUUUUAUGAAAAUUGUACACAAAUAAAAAUUACUAUGAGCUAUACAAAGCCUAGUCCUCAUUUUUACUUACUAAGAAAAUGCACGAAAAGAAAAGAAAUCAAACGAGUUUAUAUUUGCAUCCACUUAAUCUCUCCACAUAUCCACCUUAUUUACAAAUCCACCCUAAAACAUAAAACUUCUUAAUACAUACACCUAUGUAUUUUUAAUAUACCAAAAGUACUUUCACCAUUCCUCUCUUCCACACCACACUUCUUCUACCUUCUUCUGUUAUUGUUCUUCUCUUCAACAAAACCCUAGGGCAAAAUAUUAUUCUUCCAAGCUUGUUUGUCACCCAAAAAGUGUUUUAAGUUCAAAGUUAAUUCCAAUAUCUUCUAUGCAUUUUAGUUUGUAUCCACGCAUUAACAUUAUAUUUGUUUCACAUAAAUAUAUUUUAGGGCUUAUCAUUUAUGUAAUUAUCAAUAACUAUUUAUUGUAAAAAUAGUUAGGAAAUAUUUAGGAAUAAUUUAGAAGUGAUUUAAAGGUGAAAACAUUUUAAAAAAUGGAAAGGGAUAAAAAACAUGAUGGGCUAUCUGGACCUCAAAAGGUUGAAUGCUCUUAAGGAUGUCUAGAGGUAUAAUAUCAGACACCCUUGAGAGUGUUCGGAGGUAUAGAACCAGAAACUUCAAAAACCUUCCAACCCUAAAAUUACGAACACUUUUCUCGAUCCCUUUAUUUUUAAGCUCUAAAAAAAUGGAAAAAAAACAAAGAACAAAAAAAUCAUACAUAUACAAUUCUAGUAUAAUUAAAGAUGAUUAUUUGCUUAUUCAUUGUUCAAAAAAACUUCUUCCAAAUAUGUUGUUAGUGUUAUUAGAAGAAAUUGAGAAAGAAGAUGAGUGUGCAUUGAUUUGAAAUGAUAUUUUGGCCUUUCACUAAUGGAUAUUUUUGUCCUCAAAAAAAUCAUAAUCUAGGCAGAUACGUAAAGAGAUAGUUGGAUUCAAAUACAAAUUCUCAACCUUUGACUAUUGGUUUUUUUUCCUUUAUAUGAAAUCUAGGUGGUGCCUCUAUUUGCAGCAAUGUACCUUACUCAAGGUGAGUCUUACAUUCCCACAAAUCAAAAUAAUGUAAAAAGGUAAACAAAAGAAAUUAAAAUUUUCUUUUUUGUCACAGGUUUCUGACCAACCAAACAGAGAAUAAAGCCCAUCAAAAGAGGGGAGAAAAGGUACCUUUAGAAGGUAUUGAAAGUAGGAGCAUCUACGGUGUUGAUUCUUGUUCUUGUAUACAAUUCUUUCAAGAAUGGCACACUCAGAUUGGAGCUGACCAGUGAAAGAGUUCAAUCUUUCUUCAACAACUUCAAUUCCUGAAUCCAUGCAUGGGACUGCAAAAGAACAUUGAGAAUAACAAGAGGCAAAACAAAAACACAAGAACCAAAUUAGACUGGGGUUAGGGCAUCAAACAAGAGUUGAUCUUCUUGCUACAUUGAACUUUUAGGGUUUAGGACUUUAUGAAACCGAAACCUUAGAAAUGUUGACCAUACAUCCAAAAAUUUAUUUUAUAAUUUUGGUUGCAGAGAUGGUAAGCAAAUUAUUUGAGAAAAUUUAUUCAUAAUCUAAUUUCAAGGUCAGUCCCAUUCAUAACAACAAUGCUAUGCUCUUUACAUAGAAAUUUCUCAUAUUUUGCUUCCAAAAAAAGAAAAAGCCCAUCUGUGAAUUUUAAGUAAAGUGGCAUGUUCCUAUUCAAUCAUCUUUGAGAAAAAAUUUACAAUUCAAAUCAUGGUGAAAAUUUUAAAAAUUUUACAAUUCAAGAUUUUAAUUACUUUUUUCAUGUUUUCUAUCAUAUUUUAUCUGUAUCUAAACUAAAUCUAUUUUUAUACAAGAGAACAUUCCCAAAUAGAAAAGACGGUCAACCUCAGAAAAAUUUCAAUCUGGGCUGUAAUCGGCAAUAGCUCCACGGCUGUUAAAAAAGAAACACUAAAUUGAUAGCUUACAGCACUAGCAUAUCCAACUGAUAAAGCACACAAGUGAAAUCCGACCCUCCGUUUGGUUACCAAGAAAAGAAGGCAAAAUAAAUAAAUAAAUAACACACACACAUUUUGAUUACUAGGCUCUCUCUAUCUUAGCCGCCCAAAAUCCAAAAAAAAAAAAACCUCAGAUCAAUUAAGCCAAAGAGUCUUAUGAGUUUCAGAUAAAGUGCAAUGUUUAGCAUUCUCGAACCCUAGGUGGUGAAAAUUUUACGAUUGGAAAUUUUCUAUCAGUUCCCUGUUAUUUUCUCAGCAUCCAAACGAUUGUAUCAUACGUAAAUCUAUUGCUUGAAUUGGGGAAAACAGAUUGGAACGGUACCUUUAACACAGAGAUCGAUCGUCUAAGGAUGAUUGAAUUCUUUUGUGUAACGAGAAGUUGAAUGCUUUUGUGCAGUGACCGGUGUACUCUGAAGCUUGAACUCAGAGAUCGACUGAAACGCAGCGUUUGAAGGCUAAAUGAUUCGUUGCAUUUGUGUAAACAGAAACUUAGGUCAGUUCACUCGGACAAGAUGGGUUGAGCAUGGGGCCGGGACAAUUUUUGAACUAUUGGGCUGUAAGUGGGCCUGAUGUCUAAUUUAUGUCAUGACCAAGUUGAAUCUCGCCUUACUUCACUAGUCAGAUUUUCAAUCCAUGCUCAAUUUAAUAUAGUUUGGUUGAUUUUAAAAAAUAUAUAUAAGUUAAUUUUAGCAAUUUCCACAAUUCUUUCAUUUUGAUUCUAUGGUUAAAAUUAAUUUUCUAUUAAUUUAAUAAUUAUAAUUGAACAAACAGUAGCCUUGAAUAUUCGAUCGAGAGAAAAUCAAUAUCUCAAAAGUUUUCUAAUUUGAACAAAAUUGUUAAUUAUAAUGUAGACUUAUGAACAAAAUUGUUAAUUAUAAUGUAGACUUAUGGGGUGUUUGUUUUUUUUACUUUUUGCUGAAAGCAAUUAGUUUUCAGAAUUUAAGUUAUUUGUUUUUCUAUUUUUUUCAUAACUUAUUAUAAAAUUUUUACUAAACAGAAAAAGCCGAUAUAUGUAGUUUUUUCUAAAUAGAAAAAAUAACAUAUUGGUUUUUUUAUUUUUAAUACUUAAUAGAAAUAAAAUACUACAAAAAUAAAUAACAUAAUAUUUAACUAUUAAGCAUUAAGGUUGUAUUUAGAAUUAAGUAAAAAAAAAAAACAAACACCACCUUAUUAUCCUAACAAAUACAAAUUAUUCAUCUUUAUUUUUAUUUUUAUUUUUAUUUAAGUUAUAUGAUAUUGACCAUCAAAAUGUAAUAAUAUAAAAAAGGUGAUUAUCUUGAAAGCAUAAUUUCAAUCAUGUUGAUAAAAAUUACGUUAAAAUAAUUUCCUAAAUUGUUUCAUUUUAGGAUAAUAAAAUAAGUUUUAAUUGAUUUAAACAUUUGAUUUACUUAUAAAAAUGUAUUAUAAAAUAACUACUUUAUUUAUAUUUUUUUAUUUUUAGAAAUUAAUUUAAGAAUUAUUUACUUUUGAUGUUACUCUUAACCACUUCUUAAGAAUUAUUCUCAUGUGUGGUGUUGAAAUUUUUUAAUACAUAAAAUAAUGAAUAAAAUGUCUUGUUUGACUGUUGGAUAAUUUGAGUUGGGUCCUAACCAUUCUAUAGUGGGUAUCUUACCAUCUUCCAUUAAUUACUAUAUUGAAAAGUAUUUUCAAAACAAUCCUAAAAAUCAGAUUUUGAGAACAAAUUUUUUAAACCAUUUAUUAAUGUUUUAUAAAACAAAAGUCUAUUUGAUAAUUUUAAAUAUCAUUACUUUGUUUCCUAUGUUUUUAAAUAUGUUAAAGUAAUUUUACUACUUUAUUUUUAAUUAUUUUUAUAUUUGUAUAAUUAUUUUUAUAACAAUAUUUAAAAAAUAAGUUAAAACAAAUAAAUAAAUAUAUAUAUAUAUAUAUAUAUAUAUAUAUAUAUAUAUAUAUAUUAUGUUAGUCCAAGGGUUCUCCUAAUCGGGUUUUGAUGAUAACAAACCAUGGUUAAGUAACUAAUUGGUUUAAUGUUUAAGAAUCUUAGGUAUAAACUCGGAAAUUCAUAAAAGGACCAAAUGGAUACAAGAUCGAGACGCUUGGAAGACUUGAGAUCAUAGGAAAUGAAUGUAAAAUGAUAGCAUGAGUGCACUUAGGAUGUUUAUACCUUUUCAUGCAUCUUAGAAAACUCGAUUUAUUCUUUAAAACUUGAUUUUCUUUAAAACCCGAGUUUUAUCAAAUAUACCUUAGGCAAAUUAAUUCAAAAUUGGCAUAUUAACUCACCUAUAGACCUUGCCUAAGUGUUAGAAAAGAAAGGAAUCAAAAAAUAGGUUUUUCGGGGUCAAAAAGGCUCAAUCGGUCGAGGCUAAGGCCAACCGGUUGAGGAACCGGUCGACCGGCUGGGGUCGUUCGGUCGAGAACCGGUCGAGAAAGGUUAAAAACUUUCUCUCUCUCCCAGUAACCUUCUCUUCCCGGUCGAGGUGAUUCUUUUACCGGUCGAGGUCCGGUUGAGGCAACGGUAACCUGUCAUGCAUUAAAUGCUCCAACGGCUAGUGAACCGGUCGACCCCUAGCUCGACCGGACGAUGUUGCUUUUUGCUGUUUUUGACUCCCGAGCUUAAAAACCUAUAAAUUGAGAGCUCCACUUCAUUUGUUGAAAAGAGAACAAUUGCAUUCAAAGCCUACCUACCUGUUCUUGAUCAAAAAGCUCUCAUUUCUUUUUUUAGUGUAUUAAACCAUCACUUGCAUAUUCUUAGUGCACUCUUGUAAAUCAUCCUAGCUUCCUCUUGUACUUGAGCCAUCCUUAAGCUAGGUUGAGAGUUUCAUCUUUGUGUAAACUGAGUGUGAAAGCCUUCAAGUGGUUCAAAUCUUGAAAAGAUUGUGUAAGAGCCCAUUGGAGUCGGAAUCCAAGUGUAAGAAAAUUCAAAGCUUGAUUGAAACUUCAAGUUAGUGGAACCCUCACUCGGUUAGAAGAUUGAGGAGAGUAGACAUAGGCAAGAGAGUGCCGAACCACUAUAAACCCGAGAUUGAAUUCUCUAACUUUGUCUCUUUCCUUUAUUUAUUUUGUGCAUAUAUUAUUGUGUGGAAAAAGAUUUUGAAAAACCCAAUUCACCCCCCCUUUUAGGUAUUUUCUUUAAUUAUUCAUAGCCUUUGUUUUAUCAUAUUAUUUAUUGUAUUGAGAAAAAAAAUUAUUUUAUGUUUUUUUGUUGUUAAAUAUAUUUUUCUAAUUUUUUUUCUAAAUAAUAAAAAAAUGAUUUCUAAAACCGUUACUAAGUAAGAGGUUAAUUUAAUUGAGAUAAGCUAUUCAAGGAGGAAGAUUUUUCCUAAGUAUUGGAAUAAGGGUUUGACUAUUCUUUUUAGGCUAAAUUUUUUACAUAAUUUCACCUGGGGUUUAUCUACAAAUUCAAUGGACUAAUUAUUUCAAAUUAUGUUUUAAAAUUAUUAAUGAAUUUAGCACAAAUUCACAUUUGAUUUAAAAUUUAUUUUCUCUAGUGAAAAAAAUUGGAAGAACAAUUAUCUAUUUUACUUUGUUUUUAAAUAUUGUUUUUAAAGAACAGAAAAAUGGCAACAUGUCUAAAUAGGUUUUUAUUAUUUAAUAAAAGAAAUUCAAGGAUUUUUUUAAAAUAAAAAUAAAUAAUUAUUUUAAACUACAUGUAAUAUGAGAGUUUUUUUAAAAUAAAAAUUAUUUUAAACUAUAUGUAUGCAUAUAAUUAGUAAUUUAUUUAUUUUUUCAAUUUUUAUUCUCAUUCUUCGUUAACAUUGAAAUGAAAACAAAUUAUUAUUCUAGUUUUAUAUUUUUAUAUGUGUCCAAAUAUAAGAAUUAGAAUCACCAAAAUAAUUUAUAUAAGAGGAAAUGAGAGUAAAAACAAAACAUUUAUUCUCAUAUACCAAAUAUGACCUAAAAUAUUUGACAUAGGGUAAAAAUAUAAUAUUUUUGUAUAUUCUUUAAGCUAUGUUUGGUUUUCAUAGAAAAAAAAAACGGAUUUAGAAUCAAUAAAUUAUUUUUAUAUGUUUAUUUAAAUUUAUUUUACUUAUUUUAUUUCAUUAUAUAAAAAUUAAGUAAUUUUAAAGUAUAUAAAUUUUUAACUAAUUUUAAUUAUAUAUUUAUUUAUGUAUUUUUCACCCUGUGAAACCGAACAUUGGAAACCAUUUUCUUUUAACAUAUUUUUUUCUUUUCAUAAUGAUUUAUAGUACCAAACAUAGGAUAAAGGUAUGGGGACUUUUAGGCUAUGUUUCUUUUUCCGAUUUCAAGUUCAAUGAGAUUUAAAACUUGUCGUGUUAAGUUCCCUUUAACAAACUUUAGCACUUUUGUCCUCAUUGGCUCAGCGAUAUUUAAUUCCUUAUUAAUCCACUACAACGGGGUGAGUCAAUGUUAAGAAAUGUGUCUUUGCUAUUAGUCUACCAAAAGUAUCAACAAGUUGAUGUUUACUAGUUGAAAUAAAAUAUUAUAGGAAAUCGUGUGGGGGAACAUGAAGAAACAGUACGCGUGCAAUGUGGUUCAUUUAAUCCGCUAAUCCUAUCCGAAUCCAACCUAUCUUUGAGUGAGUUGGCACAAUUGUUUUUAAUAUUUAAUUUGAAUUUUGAUUAAAUUUUUUUAAUCUGAACUCAAUUUCAAUUAAAUUUUGAUCACCAAUAAUUUGAAACUAAUUCAAACUUGACUUAAUAUUUUUAUAAUAUUUACGAUAUGAUCUUGUAUAAUAAUAUUUUUUUAAAUAUCAAAUUAUAAUAUAGUUUUUAGAGAUACAUAAAUUUAUUUAUUUUAUUAUUAUUAUUAUUAUUAUAAAAUGUUAUCAUAAUUACUAUUCAAAAUUUAAUAAAAAAGUUUUAAAAAAUAUUAUUAAUGGAUUUUAAAUCAUUCAUAUCACCCAAUUAAUUAUAAUCCCAAUGAUUCAAAUUUCAUUUGAAUUUUAAAAAAUAAGGUUAAAUUAAACUUGAUUUGAGUAUUUUGAGUUAGUGGCUCUUCUCUUUCAUGGUCGUCCAAAUGUCAAUCAUCCACAAAAAUUUUUAAAAAUGAAAUUGAAUUAAACUUGAUUUGAGUAUUUUGAGUUAGUGGCUCUUCUCUUUCAUGAUCGUCCAAAUGUCAACCAUCCACGUACGGAGAUUCAAACAUGUACCAAUUUCAUAUUCUUUUAAAUAAAAAAAUAAAUAAAAAUGAAUAAUGAUGAGAUGGAAACAAGUGAGUAAUGUGGAGUGCAACUAAAGGGGUUGAAUGGGUAGGUUUUCAAUUAAUCAUCAAAUUAAAUACUAUUAUGACUUUUUGGGUGGUCCUUGUUUAUCGAUAACAAUCAAUCUUAUAGAUAUAAAUAAAAUUAAUCAAUAAUCACACAAAAAAAUAAAUUUUUUAUUAUAAAUGCUAAUUAUAAGAAAAUAGUAUAAUCCAUUAAUUAUAAAAAAAAAAAAAUUUAGUUGAUUGGAUGUAUUUAGUUGAUAGUGUCAAUAACUAUCAUCAUUUUUCACAUCUUACAAUAGCAAAACGGAAGUUACGGAAGUUUUAUGAUAAGAUAUUUAACUUUGUUGAAAUUAAAAGUUCAAAUUUUGAUCAAUUUGACUAAUCGAAUCUAAAUUUGGUGAAGUAAAAGGUUAUAUUGAGAUUUAUAAGAACUAAAGAAAAUAAGUUUCAUCUAGUUAAUAAGAAAGUAACAAAAUUUCAACUUGGCAUUUUUCUAAGUGCGUAAAGCUUAUGAAGUGGCGGCAGCGAAACUGAAACAGCGGGGGUGUGAAGUGGGUUAGGUGAGCGGUAAGCUCAACAGUAUUUUUUUUUUGUUUGUUUGUUUGUUUUCUUCCUCACCAUAAAUGAGAACGCUCUCCUUCACACGUCAACUCCAAUUUUGGAGUUGGUUGAAGCCAAAAAUCUAUUCUUCUCACGAUUUUGAAUUAAAUUCACAGUAUCGUAUCAAAAUCUGACAAAACAUCAUAAUACCAUUUUUCUAAAAAUAGAAACUUACCCACAUAAUAUGUAUAUUUCUCUGUGACCAAAUGUGUACAUUCCACACCACCCUCAAUACAUAAUUUACCCAAAAAAGAAACUACGCUACUUCCACGAUUCUACCCAAAAAAAAAAAAAAAACUCAUUGCGAUCACAGCCGUUGAAUCCAACCCAAUCUGAGCCGCCAAAACUGGUUCUAUCUACGGACAAGAAAGUUGUUGUCUUUUAACCAGAGUAUUCAAGAGCCAGUUCCACUUUACAGGUGUCGUCUUCUGAGCCGGCCAUCUCUUCCUUCUCUCUCACCACGGCACACGCCUUCUGCACCUUUGGAAUCGGCUCCAAGCCCAGUGUCAGCUCCAGCUCCACGUCGCUCCCAUCACGCGUCGGCUUCACUAGCGAAGCCUCCACAGUCUCCACCGACAUGCUGUCUGCUUCUCCGCUCUCGCGGCUCCCUGGAUGACUCACUCUCGAGUCACGACUCAGCUCGCUUUUAUAGCACCGGCUUAGGAUAACCCCAGCCGAUUCGUCGAACUCCGCAGCCGACUCCACUCUGGCCCUGGGCUUCCCACUCGAGCGCUUGAACCGCCCCCUGCUCUUAACCUUGUGAAGCUCGUGAGAAGAGCCAGCAGAGUUCUCAUCCUUUGACACGUGCCGAAUAUCUCCUGCUUUCAACGGCGGGCUCAUGCUGCUGACGGCCGACUCAGCCGAAAUCUGCAUGAUCGGAGCGCCGCUGAGCACUGCUUCCACCGCCGACUGACAAAGUUGCCAGCUUCCCGACCACAGAAGCCCGGCCGAGCCGUAUAUCGGAUUCACGAUCCUCCCACAAGCCUCGUACAGCAAUGAUCUGAAUAUAGCUGCAAAACCAAAAACAAGAAAAUUAACCAGGUUUCAGAAAGAAAACUUUUGAAAACGAAAACAAAAAAAAUCAAAAUCAAACGGAAGUAGAGGACUGACCAGGGCGGAGGUGUUCGGGGCCAGCAUUGAUAAGGUUGAUGAGGCCAGCGCGGCCGUAAAAUUUGGCGAGGAAGACGGUGGCAUUGGCUUGAAAAUCGGGGUUUUUGAUCCACUGAAGGCAAGGUCUGAGAGUGCAGCUAUCAUUACAGCCUUUGCGAAGGACUCGACAGCCAUUACAACUCAUCCGCAUGGCUGGGGUGUUUGGAAAGGAGGAAAAAAGGGCGAGAAAAUGGGGAAAAGGGGAGGAGAAAGAGUGAGGGGAUGGAAGAGGAGAUGUGGGGGGAUAUUUAAGUGAGGGAGGGCGUGGGUUUGAGGGCGCAAGUGGUUUGGGAAAGAGAAAAGGAUGUGAGAAAAUUGUAAAUUUGUGUUUGAUGGGAAACUGCUUGUAUUUAUUGCCAAAUUCUCUCAUUGCCCCUCUCUUGUCUGCCUCCGGUUUUCAACCUUUCCCUCUCUGCUUUCCCCUUUUUCUAUUCCUGCUUCCGCCACCCCAUCCUUCGUUUUUCCUUUUCUCUCUUACUGCGACCAUUCAAAGGAAAAAUACGGGAGAAAGACGGUCAGUUACGUAAAAAGAAUCUAAUCUAAAUCCCACACAAGCAACCACGUCCUUGGUUGAUUCUGAUGGACGGACGUUGAUCAAGGUUACUGCGGUCUUUUCAAUCCCCCAAACAACGAGGCCAAGAUUGUAAUUAAAGGGAAUCUCAGGGUCAACAGUAUCUUCGACGCCAUGCAUAUUGCUCCAAAACUACAUGCAGCAUGAACACGACACGUGUAAAGCCUUACAGAGCUCAGAGUGCUGACUAGUCGCCACAUAGUGGCUCACACCUUGAGAAUAGAGGCAUCCUCGCACGCGCCACAUUUACACGCGCCAAACACGGAGAUUCAUCCCAGUCGGGUGAGUCAUCUGCCCACGUGAAAAGUCACACUUAACUGGGGUAUGAUUGGAGGGCAGGAGUGGAGGGCGCGUUGGGUAGGAAUAAGAAUUGGGGAGCGUGGAAAACGCCGCCCUAAGUUUCCACUCCCGGUUUUGUGGAAUCCGUACACUGGUUUUAAAUCGUGACUGUGGGCGCCCUUUGGACUGGGCCUCUGGUUUUGGUGUCCAUGCUUAUCCUAUAAGCGUGGAGCCGACGUUUCCCUUUUCCAAUAAUUUAAUCCCCUUUUCUAAUAAUUAAACAAAACCACCACCCUUCACAUUAAUUUAUUCAAUUAAAAAACCAAUACCUUUGGAUUCAUUAAUUAUUACCUAAUAUUCAAAUUAAAUAUUAAUCAUUCGAUUAAAGACCAAUAAAUUUGGAAUAAUUUAAAUCACACGAAUAAAGUCUACCGUCCAUCAUUAUUUUAUUUAUUUAAAAUAAAAUAAUUAAAUAUAAAAAAUAAAAAAAUAAAAAAAAUUAAGAAUUAAGUUGUCAUCAUGAUAGAAAAUUUUGUUCUCCGUCACCAUACUAGAGAAUAAUAAGGCCACGAUUUUUUUUUGGAGAUGGAUUGUUUGACAAAAGCGGAGUGAGUCUGUGGCAAUAAUAAUUAUCCGGCGGAAUAUGAAGAAGUUUGACUCAAUUCUUAUUCAAUAUUUUUAAUUACAAAUUUUAUGUUGCAAUAAAACAAAUAUUUUAUUUUGGAAACGUUUAAAAUAUUCGAUCUCAAGUGCUUGACAACUCGUAAACUUUACUAACUAUAAAAUUAUAGAUGAUUAGGUCUAGAGAUAUUUGCAAUUUGGAAAUCUUAGGGACUGUUUGCCCACAUGAUUUAAAAAUAAUUUUUUAAAAUUUAUAACAUUAUUAUAUCAUUGCUUUUUAUAAAUAAUUUGUAGAGAAUGAGUAAAAAUUAUUUUCAUCAAUUUUUAAAAAAAUAUAGGUUUCGGCUUAUUAUUUUAAAAUAUUUUUAAUUUUAAGUUAUUAUUUUGUCAAUAAAACCAUGCUCAAUGUAUUUAGUGAUUUAAAUUAAUAAUUAAAUUAUUUAAAUAAUUUACCAAAUACAUUAUACUUGUUAUUCAAUGUUGGAUUGUUUGGUUUAUUUUGUUAAUAGUUUGCAACACCUAUAAAACGUGAGAUGGAAACCCAUGUGUAAACAAGAAUUUCAAAAAGCGUAAGUUCCAUAUUAGUUUAAAUGAGAAGUAUGUUUUUAUAUUUGCCUCAUCUAACAUCUUUUUCUCAUUUAAAAAAUAAAAAAUUUAAAAAUUAAAUCAAUUCAACCGGAAUAAGAAGUGUGAAUGAACAUCUUAUUCAUUUUAUCUUUUAUUCCAUACUUGGAUGGGUGAUGUAGGGACCCCUCCCUCCGAGAUACGUGACACGCAUCUUACAGUGACACAUGAUAUGCAUUGUCAUCCGGGUCACCCUCAUCCGGAUCUUCCUAUAAAGCACACAUGACGCGCUUUUUCCAUCUGGACUGCCUCAAGGAAGAGCAAACGACGCUUACAAAGCAUAGACAUCCGGACGGCUUCCAUAAAUGCGUCUGCUCCACAAUACAUCCGGAUAACCAACAUGGGCUAUCCGGAUAUGAUUGUCCGGAUCAUUGACUAAAGUAAAGCGAGUCUUACACGCUAUCACAACAACCAGACAUGACCCACGUCCCAUCACUUGCAGAGUGAAAGGACGAGUUGAGGUGACAACAAGUCACUUCCCACGAUCUCUGACAGCCGCAUCACCUACCACGGUUUCUAACAACCGUCCGUAGGAUGGUGAUGACCCUGCUGCCAUCUAAUGUCAUCAUGACAACAUAAAAUAUCUCCCCACCAUUAAUGAGAGGAAUAGUACUCCUGACACUAUAUAUAAACCUUCACACGAAGAGGAAGGUAAUCUCCUGAUACCUAGUAAAAGGUCAACUGAUUUAUAUCUCCCUCUCUAACCAUGGCUAACAAAACCAUCGGAGGGUGCGUCCGGACACCCUGUCCGAAUGCCUUUUGCAGGUAUAACGACUGAAUCAAGAACCUAUUUUGGUUGAGGUCGCGCAUCCAUCCAUUUGGCAACUACGUGGAACACCAGGAGCGCGAGGUAUCAACAGGUGAUAGAAAUAAAAUUAAAAGUGAUUCUAAUGGAAAUGAAAUUUUAUGAAGAAGGUAUUUUGAUUCUGUAAGAUAUUUUUAAAUAUUAAAAAAUUAAAGACUCUUUUGAAUAAGUUAUUUUUUUAAACAAUUUUUUUUUUUUUGUAAUACUAAAUUCAAUUUUAUAUAAUAUAAUUUUAAUUUAAUUAACAUCUUAUUAAAAAUAUAAAAAAAUUUAAUCAAUAGAUUCAAAAUAUUCAAAAUAAAUAAUUUUUAAUAAAAUAUUAAUAUUAAUACUAUAAUAAAGUCAUAAAUUAUAUUUUUUUCUAUAAAUAUUAUAAAAGUAAAGGCAUUAACAUUAAUUGAUCUAUUUUGUUAAAAAUAAAUAAUAAUAGUUUUUAAUGCCAUUUUGUAGACCCCUUUUUUUUUAAACCAAAGUUUUUUUUUUCUUUCUUCUCUUUUUUAUUUUUUUUACCACCCGAGGGGAGCUGGUAGCACCUUGGACGAGUGGGGGACCGACUUCCAUGAAGCUUCAUGCAUGAGACGCAUAGCCUUGGACGUGACCACCUCGCCAUUGUGGUGGUUGAAGUUUCAGAGGAUGACGGUUGGAGCAACAAAGCAGGUAGCGACUUGCGAGGGAAGAAAUAAACAGGGGAGGAGUGAAAAGCUUAAAAGGGAGCAAGAGAGGUUGAAGAAUGGUUCAGAGGAAAAUUCAAGAGAGCUUGAGAGGGAACCAGUGAAGAGCCUUAGAGAGAAACUGAAGAAGAAGUAGGGGAGGAGCUCGUCAGUUCGGUCUAGGUAUGGUUUCAGCAUUCUUUUGUAUUUUCUCAUCUCAGACGGUUCUAUCCUGUUUCCUGAUGAUUUUUAGGUUCAUUUGCUGAUUGGUGUGAAUAUUAAGGGCCACUUGUUUGCUUUGCUAUACCUGCUUUUUAUGUGCGUGCUCUGUUAGGGCCUCAUGUUUUGAUAUCUUUAUUUAUCUCUGGAAAAUACUUAAUGUAUUAAUCUUUCCCUGAAUUUGAUAAAUAGAAAUCCUGCUCUUGCUUCAUGAGAUUUUUCCACCUAUAUCCAGCUCAUUGAUCAUCAUGAAAUGGAACUAAAUGUAGCAUAAUUUCUUUCUCUUGUACAUUUUUUGUUUUUCUUCAUUUUACCUUCUGUUUUUAGCAUUUUUUGGAGUGUUGGUAUCAUGUUCAGUUUGGCCGUCUGGAUUUGGGGUGUUUUUGAGAGAGAUUAGCAUUAGAGUCUUUGGGAGACAUUGCCCCUAUUGUAUAUUUGGUAAGCUGAAGGUUAUCUAUCUAAGGAAGGCUUGAAGGAGUGGCCUGAGUUGUCAUCACCAGCUGCAUCUCAACAACCAGUUGGUUCACUGAAUAUGUCCAGGGCUGAUUUCAGAAUGGCUUCCCAACAACAUGGAUCAUUUUCCAGAGUUGGACUAUACCCUGCAUGCGUGAAACGCUAUUUUCGCAUGGCCACCUUAGAUCCUAUGUUUUCCAUUUCCCACUGAACACACCUCCUGCCCACCGAACCCGUUUCCCCUACACCACAUAUCCUCCAUGCCCACCUUUAAACCCACUUCUCUCUCUAAAUCUUCACAUACCCAUUUUCUCCAUUUAUCUCACCCCUUGCAGUAGCUCCCUUCACCAUCAAACCAUCACCAAACCACCACCUGCACCACCACCAACUCCUCCACCAAGCCACCCACGGAUAGAGAAAAGAAAAGGAGAGAUUUUAGAAAGAGAGAAAUGGCACCAGUGUUGCAGAGCUCUCAGCCAUGGGUGGAAUAAUAUCGUCCAAAGCAAGUGAAGGGUGUAGCUCACUAGGACGAGGUGGUUCGAGUGUUUACCAGCGCUCUUGAGACCACAAACUGCCCGCACAUGCUAUUCUAUGGGUCGCCCGAUACCAACAAAACCACCACUGCACUUGCCAUUGCUCAUCAACUUUUUUGGUUUAUUCUUAUUAGAGGUUUUGAGGGAGUGAGGGAGGGAGGGGGGGGGGGAGAGAGAGAGAGAGAGAGAGAGAGAGGAAAGUUUGAAGAUGAUUGGACACUAAUGCAAUGAAGGAAAUAUCUACUAGAGAAAAUAUCACUAAAUUCAAGAUUUCAUAUUUUUGAACCACUGUGAGUUGGUGGAAGAUAUUUUUAAGAAUCUUACACUAGAACUUCCUGGUUAAACUUGAUGGACCAAAAAUGAUAUCUAUAAAAGGAGAAUCUUAAUAAGAGAAACUAAUUCUUGCAAUUCAUGUUGUUGGUGAGUUUGCAAUUAUGCUCAAAGUUGAAAUUCCAAGGGAAGUUAGUGGAAGAGAAAAAAACAAAGGUUAUUCAAUUUUUAAGGGGCACACCCAUGGUUAUUGAUAGUGACAUCAUGAGAGAGGUUAAUUAAUUUGUUAGAAAGUACCAAUGACCAUGUAUAUGCCAAAUAAACAUUUAUUAAGACUGACUUUUUUUUUUAAAUUUCUUUUUGCUUUGUUUUGAUGUCUAACUGUACUUGUGUGUUUCUAGUUUGUCAUAUAUCCAUUUAAAUGUUUUUUCAAAAUUUCGAUUUUUAAAUUUAAUUUUCAAUUUUUCAAAAUUCCAUUUUUCAUGUUUAUUUAUUUAAUCAUUAUUAUUUUCAUUGUUAUUAUUAUUUCAUUUAUUUUUAAAAUUCCAUCUUUAAAUAAUCCUUCAAAAUUCCAAUUUCCAAAAUUUCAGUUUUCACAUUUAUUUAUUUAAUCAUUAUUAUUUUCGUUAUUAUUAUUAUUCUAUUUAUUUAUUUAUUUAUUUUUAAAAUUUUAUCUUUAAAUAACUUUUUAAAAUUUCAAUUCCCAAAUUUAAUUCCCAAUUUUCAAAAUUUUAAUUUUUACAUUUAUUUAUUUAAUCAUUGUUAUUUUUGUUAUUAUUAUUAUUCUAUUUAAUUAUUUAUUUAUUUUUAAAAUUUUUCAUCUUUAAAUAAUUUUUCAAAAUUCCGAUUUUCAAAUUUGAUUCCCAAUUUCCAAAAUUCAAAAUUUUCACAUUUAUUUAUUUAAUCAUUAUUAUUUUUGUUAUUAUUAUUAUUCUAUUUAUUUAUUUAUUUUUAAGAUUCCAUCUUUAAAUAAUUUUUAGAAAAUUCCAAUUUCCUAAUUUAAUUUCCAAUUUUCAAAAUUCCAAUUUUCACAUUUCUUUUUUAUUAUUAUUAUUACUUUAUUACUUUAUUUAUUUUUAAAUACCAUCUUCAAAUAAUUUCCUAAACUCCAAUUCUCAAAUAAUUUUCAAAAUCCCAAUUUCUUUCAAAUUUAAUUUCCAAAAUUCUAAUUCUUAAACUUAAUCUUCGAAACUCCAAUUUUCAAAUAAUUUUCAAAAUUCCAAUUCCUUUUAAAUUUAAUUCCCAAAAUUCCAAUUCUUAAAUAUAAUUUUCAAAACGCCAAUUUUCAAAUUUUUUUUUAGUUUUCAAUUUUCGAAUAAAUUUCAAAACUUUAGUUUUCUUUCAAAUAAUUUUGAUUUCAUUCCAUUUUUCAAAUAUUUCUUUAAUCCUACCACACUUCAUCUUUCCUUAAGGUUCAGGGUCACUAAAAAUCCCAUUUUUAAUAAAUUUGUUGCCUUUUUCUUUGAGGCAAGUACCUUCAUAAAUUUUUCUUUGAUUUUAAAAUAAUUUUUAUGUUCCUCUUGAUUUUUAAAUAAACAAUAAUGAAUUUUUUUUUUCAUAAUUUCAAAAUAAUGGAAUUUGUGAAACUAAUUCAUUCAAGAUAAAUUGGGCUUUGGUGGAGGUCCUAUGCAUGAGUUUUCUCUCUUGAUUGUCAGCUGUUAUACUUAAUAAAUAUUGUUUGAUCUUUGUCUUACUUUUUGAUAUGAAUGUGAUAAUUUUAUACUCAAAUUAACCUUGUUUCUAUGAUAACGCACUAUUAAUUGUUGUUAAGGUACGAUCUCACAGACUGUCUUUUUCAAAUAAGGAGUCACACUUAGAGUUUUUUUCUUAUUUUGUUUACCCUUUAAAAAUAAAACAAAAAUAAGUGGCGAUUUCAAGCCAUUUUUUGAACAAUAAAUCAUUUUUCAAAUAAAAAGUGAGUUCGCCAACGAGUGGAAGUGCAUGAGCCGAAAUGCGGGGUUCACACAUUUAUAAAAUUAUAUAAAUAUUAUAAAAAUAUGAAUAUUAAUAUCUUAUAAAAGCAUAAUUAAUUGUUAAAAAUAAAGAAUAAUCAUUCAAAAUUAAUAAUUGUUAAUAUUAUUUUAUUUUAAAUGUAUAUAAAAACAAAGACAAUUUAAUUUUUUAAGGUAUCGAUGAACCAAAAUUUUCAUUAUAUGCAUACAUUUAUUAUUUAAUUAUGAAUAUUGUAUUUUAAAUUAUUUUAUUUAAUCUAUAAUUAAUUAAUCAAUUUUUAUUUAUUUAUUUCAAAUUAUACUUAAAAAUUAUAUGAUUUAUUAAAGAAUUCAAAACAUUAAUUAUGUCCAUUAUUUUUUGUUGUCAUUAUAUAUAUAUUUGAGUUUCAAAAUAUUUUUUAAAAUUAUUAAGUUUAUUAAUAAAUUCAAUAUAAAAUAUCACGUGAUUUAAAAUUCAUUUUUUUAAAGAAAAAAAAUAUCUAUUUUAUUUUGUUUUUAAAAAUUAUUUUAAAGAAUAACAACCAUGAUAUCAAUUUUUAAAAACAAUUUUGUUUGUAAAUUAUGUGCCCAAAUAGGAUUUUAUUAUUUAGCAAAAAAAAAAUCUCAAGUAUUUUUUUUAACUGAAAAUAAAAAAUUAUUUUAAAUCAUAUAUACAAAUAUUAUUGACAAAUUAUUUUUAUUAUUUUUAUUUUUAUUCCUAUUUUUACUUAACAUUUGAAUGAAAACAAAUUAUCAUUACUACCUCACAUUUCUAUAUGCAUCCAAAUACAAGAGUUGAAACCACUAAAUUCAUUCAUAUUUAAGAGAAAAUAUUAAUAGAAACAAAAUAUUUAUUUUCAUUUCUCAUUCUCACGUACGAAAACACUCCAUUAGAUUAACCAUUGAUUGAAUGCAAAAAAUAAUUUUUAAAUGUUCAAUUCAGAUAAUUGUAUGAUUUGUUUUAAUCAAACACAAAACAUUUGUUUUUUUUUCAAGAUUUAAACAAAUUAUAUAUAUAAAAAAAUAAUAAUGAAUUUUAAAACUCAAUUUUACUUUUUUUUUUAAGUAAAAUUUUCACUACUUAAAUAAAAGGUAAUUUUAUUUAUAAAAAAGAAGUAAAUAAUAAUGGUAAAAUUAUUCUUCUUCUUAAAAGUACUAAAUGGGAUUUUAGAGAAGCUUUAAACAAAAAUAUAAAUAAUUGAAACAUACAAACCUGUGCAUUUGGUAAUGAUUUUAGAAAGUGUUUUUAAUUUUUUUAAUACAUGAAAAAUAAAAUAUUUCAAGUGUAAGAAAGUUUAAAAGCAUUUUAUAAAAUUACUACCAAAUAUACUCCAAGUCAUUAAUAAAAAAGAUUUUAGAAAUUAGAGUAACAUUUACAUGUCAUUUAUUUUGAUGGCAUGUAAAAUGACACGUCAAAUAUAUUUUUUUAAUUUAUAAAAAUAUGAAAAUGAGGGCAUUUUAGGUAUUAUAUUUAAUGAAAUAAAAUGUAUUGUAAUAUUUUUUGGAUUCAAAAAGUGAAAACAGGACAUAUUUUCAUAUUAGGAAAAUGGGAAUUAAUGUCUACAUUUUUUUUUUAAAAAUGAAGACGUGAGAAAAAAAAUCAGUAUACAUAAAUUUUAAUUAUUUAUGAUACAUGUACAUAUAAUAAAGUAUAAUUAUCUAAUUUAAUUUAAAUAAUUAAAUAUUUGGGUAGUGUCAAUUGCUUAGGGCUUAUUUGAUAAUUAUUUUAGCACAUUUGACAAUCACAAUUGAUAACAAAAAAUAUGAUGUUUUCAGAAAACAUAUUUUAAUUUUUUUUAUUUAUUUUAUGUUUUAUGUUUUUACUUGUUUUCUUAUAGAUGUUUUAAAAAUAAUUAUGCAAAUAUAUAGAAGGAUUAAAAAAUAAUUAUGCAAACUUAUAGAAGGAUUAAAAAUAAAACACUAGAUAUAAAUAUUAUUUUAAAAAUAGGUUAAAAAUAUUUAAUAUUUUUAAACAAAAUCUUGUUUUAUAAAGUAUUAGAGAACAAUACUAAAAAAUCAUUCUCAAAAACUAUUUUUGAGAGCUAUUUUCAAAAAUGGUUGUCGAAUUCCAAACCCUAUGCUAAUCUAAAUCCUAAAAAGGUUACACAAGGUUUUGAAAAAUAGUUGUGGAGAACUAUUUUUGGAUUUUUUGUAAAUAAAUAGCUAUUUGGGAAUUUGAGAAAUAUUCUUAAUCCAUUUUUCUAUAUUUUUAAAUAUUUUUUAAAAAUAAAUUUUAUCUGUAAUAUUUUAUUUUGGAUUAUUCUCAAUAUUUGUAUAAUUAUAUUUUAAAAUAUUUGUAAGAAAAUAUUUGAAAAUAAUAAAAUAGAUUAUUAGAAAAUAAAUUUUAUGAAUAAGGAACGAUUUUUUUUUUAAUUUAUUUUUUUAAUUAUCAGGUAUGUCUACCAAACUGUUUUAAAAAACAACGGUAAAACAGGGCCUAGUGUUUUUGUAAUCACAUUAUGUUCUCAUUUCUGUAAUUCUCAACCCUUAUACUACCGCAUUAUUUGAGCAGGCCUGGCCCAACCUGUUAAUCGUGUGAGGGCCUGGGCCCAUAAUUAAUUCCUCUAGCCCAAACCAGGCCCUUAUAUAUCGAAUUAGGAGAGGAGUGUGUCGCGAGAGCAGAGGGAGGAGAGGAGAAAUGGGGAGAAAGAAGGGAACCGUGGAGUUCGAUGAAUCGCCGCCGGACGGGUACGAUCCGGAGAAUCCGUACAAGGAUCCGGUGGUGUAUUUCGAUAUGAGAGAGUAUCAGGUGAGGGAGAAGUGGAUUGACAUAGAGAAAGCCAAGAUCUUGAGAGAGAAGCUUAAGUGGUGUUACCGCAUCGAAGGUGUCAACCACCUCCAGAAGUGCCGCCACCUUGUUCAGCAGUACCUCGACGCCACCCGUGGUAUAGGUUGGGGCAAGGACGGACGUCACCCGUCCCUCCACGGUUCGCCCCUUAAUUCUCUGUUUGGUUUCCAUGGACAUGAAAAUUUUUGUUUGUUUCUAUUUCCAUUCGUUCCGCCAGCUGUUUGAUUUUGUCUUUUGAUUUUAUGGAGCAGGUCCUAAGGUUGAAGCCGAGUCGGAAUGAGCCACCCUGCGUGGAUUGUUCAAGGUAUUGGAAAUUUCUUGGUAUCAUAAUCUGUCGUUAGUUCGUAAUCGUUGAUUGCUACUUCUUUUGCUUUUUUGUUGAAAAUGCAUAUGAACUACUUUUUUCUUUUUCUCUGUCAAACGAAUACUAAAGAUUCGGUUAGUUUCGAUUAUUAUUUUCUCAGCUCUACAUGCUUAGUUACAAUUAUUUGUAUAAUUAUGAUCGUUGUGGCAUUACAUGGUCCUAAAAUUGUAGGGGUAGUAUACAGAUAAGUGGAUUAGUGACUCCAAAUGUUAUGAUUAGUUUAGAUGAUUGGAUCCUGAUCAUAGUCUUAGCUUGUUAAGGUGGCUUGCACCUGUCACCAACAACUUGAAGACAUGUAUAUUUGUUUAAUAUCAUUUAUGGUAGUUUAAACUACUACAGAAUGAGCAAGCAGUGGUAGAGUAGUUUGGAAUGGAGCACAUUAUAAUGGUUGGAAUAAGAUAUCAUGUUGUGCAAUGCUGUGGAACGUUGUAGAGUUGUUGAAAAAGUUGGGAAUAACAGGAGUAUAUUUAGUUAUACAGAAUUAUUUAGAUUUCCAAUUUUAUUGGGAUAUGAGACCAAAUAAAGUUUAUUUGAAAGGAUUGUCUUUGAUGUUGUAUUCUUGAGUACCGUCCCAUGUGGUGCUUUGGUAUCUCAUAUGUUAAUUCAUUUAUUAGUGUAAGCAACCCCGUGUAUUCAAGUGUGUGCUUUGGCUAGGGUUUGCAGUUAGCUUGAAUUCUUGUGUGCCUUACAGGGUUGAGCAAUAAAAUUGGGUGUUUUGAGUGGUUGACAUUCUUAAAAGUGUUAUACAAGUCUAUUAGGAUAGACCACUUAGCAUCCUUGAUUGAAAGGCUGUUUUUUCAUCCUCACCCUCGUUCAACUUUUUAGUCUUUUCCUCUCUUUUUCUUGCCCUUUUUAUUGAAAGGUAAUAAUAAUAUUAGUGAGAAAAAGAGAAAGAAGCAAGGUCUUGUACCAGCAAGGUAUACAUAUACACAGUCACACCUGUAGCUCAAGGAAAGACCAUUUACAAAGUGCAAAACAUUAGGAUUUCAAAUCUUCCAAGAUUACUGUCCAUAAAACCAAAAUAUCACAAUAGUUCAUUCAGUCUACGACCAGAGAGGAAAGGUUCUUGUUCUAAGCUAUUAUGAUUUGGAUUACAAUGUAUAUCAUUCAAACUUUGUGAUUGUAGAUAAAUAGAGAGAUAAAUAUUGGGGGGAGGAUUCAAACUCAAGAUCUCUAGUUAACCCAAACUUUUAUGCCAUGUUGAGUUACCAACUUUCUUAAAAGCCCAAGCUUUUAGGAUUUGGACCCAUAAUGUAUAUCAUGCUCUAACACUUCACUUAAAAGCUCUUUUAGUUCACUCAUCCUAAAUGCAAGACAAAGCAGAAAAGAGGCUGCUGCUUUCCAAUAUUGGAGUUCCUUUUUCAUAACCAUGGACUAAGUCAAUCAAUCACUUUCCAGUUCCUCUCGGAAUUCUAUUAUUGGGUUUAUUACCUAAAGCCUAGUGCAAAUGUGAAUUGCUAAAUUUCAAUGAGAGGAUGGUGAAGAAUAGCAUGAUUUUCUGAAUUUUCCUUACCACUAGCAUAUUCAAAAUCCAGGACAAAUUUUCCAUGUCUACUCAUCAAAUGAUCUAUAGCUAAGAUAUUAUCGCUAUCAGUUGUCACGCAAAAAAGGCAACUUUCAUGGGUGCAAAGUAUUCCCAUGCAGCCUUCAUCAGAAAGUCCUCAUUAUCUGAUGCUUGCCUCAUUUGGAGAAUUUGACCAAUAAAAACCAUUUCUAUUAUCCCCAAACCAACUUGGCCUCCUAUUCACAUCCACUUGAGAACCAGAAACUUGACUGUUACCCCUUUCAUCCUGGUUGAGAAUGGGGAGGUGUGGUUUUAUGUUUGAGGGUGUUGAUUUGGUAGGGCUUUUAAAAUUUUCAUGAUUAGAAACCUUGGGCAACUCAGGCCUCUUAAAAUAGCAUUCUUUGUAUGGAGAAAAAUUUGACUAUUGACCAGGCUAUGCACUAAGCACUGGCAUUUCUAAGUUGCUUGGAUUGCAUCCAUUGGAAACUUCUUGAAAACCAGAAACCAAUUUGUUUAGUGCCGGCAAGCUAUUAAAUUGGUUUUUGAAAAACCAGUUUUCUCAUUGUCCCAAAUAAAAUAAAAUAAUAAUAAAUCACAUUUACCCAGAUCAUUUUGCCAUGAAAUAUGUAACUACAAAGAAAGAUGAGGGAUCCUUCUCUAAUCACACAAUCCUCUAUAUAAAUAUGAUCAAAAGUAAGAAUAAUUGUCUGUUCUAGAAAGCAAAUAUAAUGAUACAAUUGAAAGCAAUUACAAUUGCAAAAUUAAUAAUCCCUGAAAUCAAAUGGUUGGCUCCUCUUUUUACGAACUUAUCCACCAUGGGAUUACUUGAGUGAGGAAUCCAAGUACUGAAGUUUCUAAUUCUAAAGCAAUAUAAAAAAUUUGGUAAAACUAUUCAUCAAACUUCCAUGAGCCGCCUCCUUUCUUAUUCAGCUAGAAUAGGAUGACAACUGAAUCUCUCUUUAUUAGAAGAUUGGAUAAAUCCUGAGAUUUGGUUAGCUUUAAGCCUUUCCACAAAGUACUUUGCCUCCAUGGCAAUUCCAACUCUAGCAUGUUUAGAGAAUGCUCUCACUACUGUUCCAUGAUGAUUCAUAAACCUUAAUCCAAUUUGUAGUGGUCUUGGGUAACCUAAGAAGCACUCAUCAAAAUUCAACCUGACACAAUGCAAUGUAGGAGUCCAUAUAUAGAGUUUCUCCUCAACCAAUAGGUUCCUAUCUAACAAUAUAGUGCUCAAUGGGAUGCCAAUGAAUGUUGCAUUAGUUGAGGCCUAGAGAGGAGGAAAAAUAGAUUAAAUCCCACAUUGUCUCCAAAGUCCUCCAUUUGUCCUAAAAGAUCCUUACAUUUCUCUCCUGCUAUGUAGUCCAAAUUAAUGUGAGACUAGCAGCAUCACACCACAAUGACUUCUCUAAAGGGUGAUUUCCAAAACUGCUUGUGCUUUCCUCAUUAGGGAAAUUGGGUUUAAAAAGAAAAAAAAAAAAGAACCCUUUUAAUGAUUCAGGAGGCUUUUGCAUGAUUAUCACUUCUUUUUUCUUCACUUAUCAACAAUUCUGUUAUUUUUAAUCAAUUAGCAAAGAGAUCUAUUAUAAAAAAGCAGAAGUUGAUUUCUGAAUAUGCAAGGAAUUUGUUAAAUUUGUUGAUAUCAAUCUUUAUCCAUAUUUGGACUGAUGUAAGGGCUAAUUGGUCCCACACUAUGGUUUACUAGUGCAUGAGACAUGAAAAAAUUAGGCCUGAUGAAAGAACAUAAAUAAGUUGUGCUUUCUUUCUGCAGGUGACUGAAAUGGCCAUCUGGUAAUUGCUUAAAGCAGAGGGAUAUUGGAACCUGCCUAUUUAUCAGUUUAGUUUCUUUGCUGUUAAUUGUCUUAUGCUUCAAUGGUUUUCCCUUCAUUCUUGUUAUAUCCAGAUGCCGGAUGUUAUUGGCAUUGGUUUGGAUGUUAGAUCUUUUUGCUUGUUAGCAUCCAGAAACUGAUAAUGAUUUGAACCAAGGCAAUGAAUCCAAAGAUAUCCUCUAUGAAAUAAGUUACAACUUGUGAUUUGUUCCUUGUUGAUAAUGAAUGGCAUCUUUUAUGCAAUGUUUGUUUUCUAAUAAAUGCAUUGCUGGACAUGAUUGUGUCAGAAUUGUCAAAGCAUUUUUUUUGUUUUAAUUUAAGAAUUUAUUUAUUUAUUCUGAAACUUGGUCAAUUGAAAAUUUGACUUUGUUCAGGAGUAGGCAGUUUGGGAGGUUUAGGGUCUACAGAACUAUGGUAGAUGUCUUUUGUGUUCACCCAUUCACUGCCAGAUGUUUUCCUGGACUAUUUGUUAGACGAUGGUAAAAGGAAAAAGAAAUGUGAUUUUAUGCAGUUUUGUUCAUUUCAAAUGCCAAAUACAAAGUAUUAUAGCUUGAUACUCCUCUUUUGCAACUUCUGCUUCGGAACUUGGGAAGCACAAAAUAGGUCAACUUAUCUGGAGUCUUGCCCUCCACCCCAAACAGACUAAAUUCAUCCAAUUAAGUGAAGCAAAACAAUAUCAAAUUUAGUGCUUGUAACGUUCUGAUUUUUGAAGGCAGUAAUGAAACAAGUCUUAGAGACAAUAAGAAGUAAUGGCCUUUUCUUGCCCAUCUCUUAGGUGCUUUUAAUAUAUUUACUUCUUUGCCUAGGAAAAAAAAAAAAAAAGAAGACAAGAAGUAACAUUUAUGAUUUACCUUUUCAAAAAGCACUGUGAAGAGUCCUUUUUUUCUUAGUCUUAGGCUCCAAAGUAGGAUUAGUGAUGCUAUUGAGACAUGCUGAUUGGACACCAUCUUAAUGAUUACAAUAUAGUUGGGACUGUGAAAGCAUGGAUGAUAGGGUUUUUGAUUUCAUGAUGUGGUUUUCUAAUGAGACUAUAAGAAAUCAAGGAUGGUAGCUGCUUUCCUACCUUGAGAUAUUGUGUGCGCAUAGCCACAGCUGGAACCUCUCAAACUCAUCACUCUUCACUACUCUUCUUUCCUGGAAAGCAGACAAACUUGAGGAAAUUAAGGUUAAAUGUGUGAAGGAGCAGAUUAGUGACAACUAAAAUGAAACAACCAUAAAAACUAAUUAACAGUUAUAAUGAAAAUCCUAUCACAGAAAUGGAUAAUGACUAUAGACCAGGUCUAGAAGGAAACAUAUAUUUCUUGGGAAAACUGAGAUCUGCCCUGGGAGCUCCCUUCAGUCCAAUGAGUGGGCAAAGCGUGCGGAGGAGUUGCUCCCAUGUCAUGCAUCAGGCUAAACUUAGCAUUUGUCACUCCACAGCCAUACUCGAACCGAAUUGAUUGAGAAAAGAAUAAGCAUAGCCAAGUGCAUGAGAUGGCAGCUCUGGCCGCCCCUCAGCCCUCUUUAUUGGACUAAAAGGAGCUCUUCAGCUGUUCCCCCAAAUCAUGUAUUAUCCUGCACAUGCCUCUCCCUCACACGCACAUAUGGUAGUAGUAGAAGAGAAUGAGAAGGAGCAGAAAGGUAUCACAUGCUCCCUCCCUUGUGCUUCCUUUAAACGCAGCUUGUCACUCCCACAAAAAAUGUUUUAAGAUAUGCUGUGAAAGUACCUUUUCCUGGGAAAGAGAUUCAUGGAAAUCCUCUCAUUUCAUUUUCAGAUUUUUCACCACAUUCCUGGAUUUAUAUAACCCUUGGCUCCGAGCAUCAGCCUUACCAGUCUUGUGCCAAUUGCACUGUGCCAUAUAACACAGCACGUGUAUGUCAUGCAUACCAUGUUUGCUUCUUCUCUGUGCUGUAGUUGUGGAUAGUGGAUGCAUCAUCAUGUCUACCCAUUGGUUUGAUGUUCUGGUCUAGCUUUUCUUGAACUGUUGUCAACUUUGGUGAAAGAAUCAUCGAACCAUUUUAUAAGUGAGAGAAUCAUUGGUUAUAUUGGGGUUUUUUUUUGGCACAUUUUUGGGUGAGUAGAUUAAUAAUCCCCAGGCUACUAGGUUCUCUGCCAGCAUUCUGACAUUUGAAAAUAAUUCAAAACUUUAAAUAUGAAUCUUUACCUUCUUUCUACAUUCUGAUUAUGCUACACUCCAAACUUAUCUUAGAUGGCAGUGCAUACAAGUUUCCACAUUUGACUUCUGGCACAUAAAAGAAAAUCAUAGAAGAGUGGAGCAUAGGUAUAGGAUGGUCAAAGGGCAAUUGAAUACAGCCAUCCUCUGAACUAUGUAAGUUGCGGAGAAAGGACAAGGCUUUUAGCAUAAAAUUGUAAAAGUAUUGGGGCAAUGAAAUCUCGAAAAGAGAUUCAAUAGUACUGCAUUAUUCGCAUGAGGUCACUUCUGAGUUCUGGCUUUCUCAAGUCUCAACAGCAAACACCCACAGCAACCCUUUUUCUUCUUCACUCCACAGAACUGCUCAAAAGCAAAAGGCAGAGAGCAGUACUCUAAUGCCCCGCUUUGCUACUGUCAGACCCACCAUACUCAAGUGCACCCCAACUCCACAUCCUCUGGAUUAGUCAUCAACUCAAGGCUAGUCCUUGUGAUGAAGGGUGGUAGGGGUGACAUCAUGGGUUCCGUGUGUAUGGUACGGCUGUGAACUUAAGUGUUUGUCCUGCUUCCGAUAUGUGGGAUUCUGAUUCUCUUUUGCAAUAUGAUUCCAGCUGAAAUGCUGAAUCCCUCCUUCACCUAGGAAAAUAAUGAAAUGAUAUAAAAAAAAAGCUUUUUUUUUUUUGGUAAUAAGAAAAAUGGAUUAGCAACAGAGCAGAUGCAGUAAGAAGAAUGGGAGAAUGAGUAAAGCAGAGAAAGUCACUGCUGUAUUCUGCAUCUCUCCUCCAUACUUGUGAAGGAAGGACUCUUGUUUAUAGCCUUAUAGGCUUGUGGGUCAUAAAAGUAGCCAUACAUAACUUGUCCAAUGAGGGGCCUUCAAGAAGAUCGGUGGCACAGAGGGCUUCCUCUUGGGAGCCAAGAGCCCUCCUGGUCUUUCACUAACAAGCUCAAAAUGAAUGGGGGUUGUAAUUGCAUCGGAAAUUUUUAUACUUUUGACCUUUAUGUGGGAGACGCAAGAGAGAAAAAGAGUUUUAGAGAAGCAAAGGAGAAAUCUUUUUAACGAGUUUUAAACUCUUUUUUCCCCCCUUUUUCUACCUUAUUUUCUUUUCUACAUUUUGCCCUAAUUUUCAAGUUCGUGGAAAUAAAUAAAUAAAUAUGAUUAAAAUUAUUUAAUACACAUUUUGAAAUUCUUUAUUUUCCUAUUUUUUUCCCUUUUUGUAUGGAAGGAGAAAAAGAGAGAUUAAUUAAGAGAAAUAUGUGAUGGAUUUUGUCGGUUUAAGCCUAAUUUUUAUUUUUUUUCAUUUCUUUUGCAUUUUUCUAAAUAUUUUACUUCUCUUUUCUCCAAACUUUAAGAUAGAAUGAUAAAUUUUCGGAUUCAAAAAGUGAGUAGGAGAGAAAAAGGAGCUCCUUUCUUAAAAAUAUUUUCCUGUUUCUUUAAAAUAAGAAAAAUAUUUUCUAACUUCAAAAAUGACAAAUUUUAGAUUGAAAAUAGUUGUACCAAAAUUCAUUUUGUAAAUGGUUUUUAAGAAGUUAUUUAAACAAUUUGGGCAUUUUACUACAUAACAAAACCGAUAUGAAAAAUAAUUGUGUUAAAAACAUAAGCUCAAAUAUUAUCUAAUUAUUACAUAUAUAUAUAUAUAUAACCUAUUUAACCCAUUUAAUAUUUGAGUUCUUUUUUUUUAAUAAUCUAGUUAAAUUAAGUCUUAUAUAUGACUUAAUUAACCUAUUUUUUUAAAAAUAAAUUUUAAAUAAGUCAAGUAUGGAUUAAAUAAUUUAAAUAUAUAAUUAUGUUAAUACUAAGAUUAUUAGAUAGGUAAAUUUAUGUUAAAUUUGUUUUACAGACCUAAGAAUUAUCUCUAUUUGUUAAACGGGUUAAAUGGGUUGAUAUAAAUUUUACUCAAAUUUAUUUAUAUUCAACCCAAAUAUGCAAACGGGUAAAUUAUAUCUAACUUUUUCACUCCUAUUUUCAAAUAUUUUUGUUGUCGCAUGGUGGAUAUUGAAAUGACCUCCACGCACAGCAUAGGCCCAGGCUCCAGUAGACGCUGUGGAUCACUCUUUUGGUUGUUGCCUGCAACUCUGCAACACUCCUAACAUGAUAAGUACAACUAAAAUAACUAAUCAAAAUAGGGUCCAACGGCUACAAAAAAUCUGAGGUAUGGUACCUCCCUCAGCACCAUAGAAGUUUCCUUUAGUUAUAUGAUUUCCAUGCAUCCUAAAAUGUGGUUGCAAUGAUGACAUUAUUUCAAACUAUUCAAUUCUGUUCAGUCGCCUUCUCUGCUGCAACUCGUUUUGUCUUUUGUUUUGUCUUUGUUUUGUUUGUUUUUAAACAUGGGCAAGGCCAUCACUCCUUUCUUCUUAAGCUUAUGCUUUACACUUUUUUUUUUUUUUUGCUUUCUUUUUUCUUUUUCUUCAGUGAGAUUGUUGGUUGUUUUGAGGUGAGUCCUACACCCUCCAUUAAAGAAAUCUCAUAUUCAUGAAUAUUCCAGAGAUGAGAAUGCUAACUAAGAAACACCCAUAUGAAAAAAUCUUACAUGAUGCAUGCCAUAUAGUUGCAUAUGCCUUGCAGAUACACCGGAAGAAUUCACAAUCUCAACCCCUUUAUGUAGAUGGUUUGUUUCAUAAAAAAACAAAGAACUUCCGGUGGCGAGUUCCCCUCCACGUGUUCUUUUCUAACUCAAGACACUUUGGCCAUCCAGGACAAGUAUGAAAUCCAAUCAAAUAGUUGCAUUCAAACUAGGUUAAGAUCCGUUUGACACCAGAAGUGAGGGGAUUCCUUUUCCCUACAGGGCCCACGGUAUUAGGAGUCUGAACUUCCAAAAGGAAAGGACUACCCAAUCAUAUCUUAAAGACCUUUGGCAUGCAUGAUCAUUCAUGCUUGACAUUUGAGUGGUUGAUGGGACUCCAUUCGUCUACAAAUCCAUUUCAACUAAUUACUACUCAUAAUCCAAGACGACGAUGGAUUGAAGGGAUAGACAACUGUACAAUCCGAAAUCUCAGCACAUCAAUAGAUGGCACCUACCAGCCACCCUUAACUGUGAUGAUUUCCCAACAGCUCUCAAGACAUUCAUCAUUACAGAAGAAGGUCAGAAUGCCUAGUCAGCACUACAAUGACUGUGCCAUUAGCUCUAUAAAAACCUUCUAAAAAGUACGAACAAGGGAUAUGCAUGAAAAAACUCAUCCUCUCUUAAAAAUAAUUAGUACUACUCUUAUCUGACUUAAGCUUCGAAGGGGUGUACCCAGACUACUUGUUUGGACAUCCUUUUAUAUAGGAAAUAAGUCUAUUGAAUAAAUAGACUUUUGGGAUUGAUCAAAAUUAGAGUUUAACUCUAUAUCCUUAAGACAAAUUUCACCCUGUUCAUAUGCUUAUGAUAUAUGUGAUUGUUUCUCAUGAUACAACGAUCACUUUCUUGUGAGAAUAACACUCCAAAUUAUAAUAAACAACGAAUCGUUUGAUGAUUUGUACCUUUUUAAAUAAAAAAUAAAAAAUAAAAAGCUUAGUAAAAAAAAUGACCAAAUUUGAAACUAAGGACUUGAAAGUUUAAGAAAUGAGAAAGGAGUGAAAAAAAUGGAUGAAUAAGAAAAUACAAGGAACCUAUUUAUAGAUUUUGUUAGUGACUAUAAGACAAAGAUGUGUCUUUAAGGCACUAGACAUAUCAUUUGAAAAAUGUUAUGUCUUUAAAAUAUUAGACUCAUCAUUUGAAACAAGUUGUAUCUAUUAAAAAAUAACAUGUCUUCCAAGAGAAAAAAAAGACUUAAUUUCAAUUCCAUAAUCACCCUUAAACAAAAACUCGUUAUUUUCUUUUAUCAAUAUCGUUAGGAUCAUUACAUUUCUUUUUAGAUUAAUAUUUAGAGAAAGAAACACAAAGAAUAGAUCAUUUUUAUUUUUAUUUUGUAUUUUAUGUAAGUGUAUUAUGCCUUCAAAAUUGAAAAAACUAUUUUUCAUAUUUGAAUCCUAAAUAAAAUUUGGCUUUUCGAAAACCUAUGAAUAUUUUUAAGAAUUAUUUUCAAAAACUUAUUCUAUUAGAACAGCUCCAAAGCAAUGUUGUCAAAUAAGCUUAAUAUUUCAAGUUUAAGAAUGGUUUUUGAAGAUGCAGCUAAACAAACCUAAGAUUUCAAGUUUAAGCCUAUCUAAAAAUUAAGGUUGUAUUUGAUUUUUGAAAUUUUGGGGGAAAAAUACGAGGAAAUGAAAAUAUAGAAAAAAGUAGCAAAAAAAAAAAAAAAGUGUUGGAAAAUAAAAAAAUGAUUUAAUUCUCAAUAAAGUGUAGUAAUCUCAUGCUUACUACCUUGACAAGUGAACGCACUCUUUAACAUGACCUUGAGUAUAUAUACUACUCAAGCAUAGACUUGGCAGUACUGAUCAUAAGAUGAUAACAGCACUACAAAUCAAAAACACUUUGUUUUUGGACUGGUAAAAUGUGGUAGCAAUGAUGACAUGAUUUCAAGCAAUUCAAUUCUGUUAUGUCGCCUUCUCUGCUGCAACUCCUUUCGUGUUUUGUUUUGUUUUGUUUUGUUUGUUUUUGAAUAUGGACAAGGCCGUCACUACUGAUCCUUUCUUCUUCAGCUUAUGCUUUUCUUCCUUCUUCUCCAUUUUUCUUUUUGGCACUGAAUUGGUAAUUUGAGGUGAGUCCUACACCCUCCAUUAAAGGCUUCUCAUAUUCAUGAUCCUAGAGAUGAGAAUUGACUGAAAAACCCACAUGAAACUCAGUUCUUGAACAACUAAUCAAUCAAUUGUAGAAAUGAAAACAAUCUAUGAGAUUUGUGUGAAAUAAAUAUAGCCAGUCACUGUUUCAUUGUCAAAAUUAAAUUAGUUACAAGUCUACAACUCCUCUAUUUUCUUCUUCUUUCUUGCAGUGCAGUUGGAGAUGUAUGCUAUAUAGCUGCAUGCCUUGCAGAUACACAUCAAGCAUUGAUCACAAUCUCAACCCAUUUAUGAAGAUUGUUGUUCCAUAAAAAAAACAAAGAACUUUACAAAAUUGAAUGAUGUCUAAGAAGAAAAGAGAGGGUUGUAGCUAGCUAGGUACAAGGUUGAAGGUGCUUAAGAAGCUAAACUCACUUCAACUUAUUGUACAAUAUAUAUAUAGCCAUCAGAAGUCCAACCAAAACAUACCAAUUUUGCUAGCAAAUAAGCAAACUUGGCAGUUGACGGUUAUUUAACAUUCAAGAUAGGAAAACAAGGUCCUGCAGCAAAGGAUGCCCUCUUCACAAACCUUCCUUUCAUUCUAGGCCUUUUCUCCGCAUUCAAUUUCCUAACCUCGUACCUUAUCUUCUUGGAAAACAGCCUAGUCCUUCGCUUCUCUCGGUACCUCAACACUCUUGCUUCUCUACCCCCAUCCCUGCCUCCAAAAUUUCCUCCCACUCCUCCCACAUCUCCACACGGCCCAUGAACAUUUGUAGGACAAGCACCCUGAAAGAUUCAUCACAAAAAUGGCAAUUGUAAGCCAGUCAUCACUAUUUGAUCAAAUUAUAAUUAAGGGCAUUCAACAUUAAUAAAUACUUUGGAUCAUCAUAUAUAGAUAUAUAUAUAUAUAUAUAUAUAUAUAUAUAUAUAUAUAUAUAUAUAUAUAUAUAUAUAUAUAUAAACAUGCAUCUCUUCAAUUGGAUUUUAUGUUUGUGUGGGGGAGAUUACCAUGUAGUCUGGCCAGUAGUCGUUGGGAUCGAAUUCUGGACGAUUUCCUGUUGUCCAUGGAGAGCCUUGGCUGGCCCAGGCAGUGAUGACAUCCUCGUAAUUAAGACUCAAAGAUAUCUUUCUCCUCAUCUCCACUGCAGCCACCAUCUUCUCCUCAUGUUCCUCCUCGUCCAUUACAGUUGACUCAUAAUCUAAGUUCCAUGCUAACAAUUCUUUUGUCAUGUCCAAUUCCGGGUCCAGAUGGAAGGUUGCAUCAGUUUCCACUCGUUCCUCUUUAACUUUCACCUUUUGGUCUCCAAAACAAGCAUCCAUGUCACCUUGCUCACAAUCCAAGACACCUAUUCCUUUGAUUCCGCACGAGUCCUCAUCCAGGCCUGCUCCUAGAUAGCUCUCAACAUCAGCAGCAAACUCUGCAAGAUCCAUUUCUGAGGGCAGAAACCCAGUUAGAGAAUCCAAGUCACCUAUUUCUUCAUGUCCGUAAUCCGAUAAAGGCUUUGAAUCAUUUUCCAUGCCGAUUUCACGUAUCCCGUCAUUGUUGAGUUCCGCAACGAAGGGAUCAAAGGUUGGAACCCGAAAAAGGAACUGCUCUUCAUUCUCAUCAGGCGAUGCUUCUUCACUCCCAAUCUCCGGAACAAGUGGGGGAGGAGUUGGAAACUUGUUCUCAUGUUUAGAUGGUUGCACCGAGGUGCGCUUCACAUUGCGUGGGCUUCUGGCCUUGCGAGUGAACCCCUGGUGCCAGGCGGGAGUAGAAUUAUCACGCAUUGAGUCAGCGUUCUUACAAGACGCGGCCUGGAGCCGAACCCUUUCAUGCCUUUCGGCUAAUUGGUUUGCCGAAUGCACUGAUGCAUCGCAUGCUUGGCAUAGGAAAGCAUCAUCAGCGCCACAGUACCAACGAGCCCGCUUGUGCAGGCAGUUAUCGCAGGCCCUUGCAGUCUUGCCUCCCAUGGCAUUUGCAACUUUCUUGUCAGUGAUCAUGGAAGAAGAGAGAGGAGAAGAAUAUGGAAAAUUGGGCAGAAACACAGAAACUAAAGACCCAGAACGAAGCGCAAAUUGUAACAGCUAGCGGUGACUCUUCAUAUUAGUGGGAGGGCCAAAUGAUGGAGUUAUGGGGCCCAUGAGCCCACACACAGAGGGUUGCAGCGAAUGGGCGCUUUGCCCAUGCAAUUUUUGGUUGGUUUUGUCCAUGAAAAGAGAUUGCUAGUUUGGGGACUUAUCUCGAUGCUGAAUGGCUGAAGUUAUGAAAUAUGUCCUAUUCUCCGCCUUCUUGUGGCUCUCUCUUUGAGUCAUUUGGACCCUACUGGAUUGUGGCCUUGAGAGAGCCUUUGCUGAGGGUGGGCACCAUGAAAAUUAACUCUCUCCCUCUCUCCCUCUCUCUCUCGUCUCUCUCUGUGUCUCUCUCUGUUUCUCUCUCAAAAUUUCAAUUGUCAAUAUGAAGAGGACCCAUUUGGUGUUCUGUCCUCUACAUUUCAAUUAUUCAUGCUUCAACUUUAUGGUCUUUGUUUGCGGUCCCCUAUGGUUGCAAUCACCACUGUCUCAGCCUCUCUCUCACAGCUUGAGUUAGAUCCAUUUGCUGUUUUGUCUCUACAUUUCCAAUUAUUCCUCUUACAACUUUAUAAACCUUGUUUGCAUGCUCUAUAGUUGCUUUCAUCUCUGUCUCUCCCUCAACGCCUCUUAGCCACUCUCCACCAGUUAACGCAUUUGCAGUCGAAGAAGCAUCCAGAUGCUCCUCUUUCAACUUAAAUUCAUUCCCAUCAUGCAUUUCUCCCAUUCAUGACCCACCUUAGUCUGUGACCUUUUGGAUCCAUAGUUGGUCCUCCUUAAUAAUUCAUGUAGCCCAACUUCACUUACAUAUUUGAUGAAUUUUCAUUGAAUCAUCAUUUUGUAAAUAUUGAAAGAUUUAGUUUUUCAUAUGUUUUACUACACCCAAAAUUAAAUUGACAUAGCCCUCGUUUGGGAUUUCUGCUUUUCACUUUAAUCAGAGAUUGAAAUUCAAGUAAAAUUUACACUUCUUAAAGAUAUCAUAAGUAAAAAAAACACAACAUUUUUUUUAAUUAUAUAUCAAAUUCUUUUUUUAAGUUUAAAAAAGACUUUUUUAUUUCUUAAAAGUCAAUCCAAGCAUGACUUAAUGAUUUAAUAUAGCUUUUUUUAAAAUACAUGUAAAAAUAUAUAUAUUUAAGGUUAUGUUUGGUUUGAGAAAAAUUUUAAAGAAAAUGUGAAGAAAAAUAAAAGAUAAAUUUAAAAUUAAUAAAUUAUAUUAUAUGUUGUUUUAAAUUCAUUUCAUUUAUUUUUCUUUUUAUGUAAAAAUUAAUAAAUUAAAAAUAUAUAAAAUAUUAAUUAAUUUUAAUUAUAUUUAAUUUUCUUUUCCCUUUUUCAUAUUAAAACUAAACAUAAAAAAAAAAAAAAAAAAAAUUUAAUAUUUUUUUUCUUUUCUUAAUAUUUCACGGUAGCCGAGCCUAAUAGUUGAAAGUGGGGAUUCUUAGGCCAGGUAUAAUACUUCUUUAGUUCUUCAUCUAUUGGACAAAUGGUCCCAUUCCUGAGUGCGUUGUUGAAAAAAAAAAAUCACUAAUAUAGGAUGACGUUGGAGAUAUUUUCUAUUUCUGCUUUAAAAAUAAAAUAAAAUUAUACAAAAUAUAAGUACAUUUUUGUAUUUUUAAAAAUUUUUAACGUUUGAGGAAAUAAAAAAUUUUAAUUUCCUCAAAAUUUUAAAAAUUUAAAAAGAAUUUUCAAGAAUAUAAGAUAAUUCUUUAGUUUUUUUAUACAUAGGUUAUUAUAUUUUCUAUUAAAAAAUAAAAAAUAAAAAAUAUAUGCAAACUUCACCUACAGCCUUUUAGCAUUUCAAUUGCAAAACCAUCACUUACAAGUCAAAGUUGUUAAUGAAAUAAAAAAAAAAAUCUUUAAAUCUCAUAUCAAAAAGUAUAAUCUAAUUAAAAGUCACUAACUAUGUUUGACAGCUAUUUUUAAGAACAAUUUUUAAAAAUUAUUUUUUGAUAUUUUUUAAAAUAAAAGUCUGUUUGAAAAUCUAAAUUAUUUUUAACAUGUUUUUAAUAUUUUAAAAUGUGCUUUAAAAAUAAUUUUUAUGUUUGAUAUUUUAUUUUUAAUCAUUUCAUAUAUUUAUAUAGAUAUUUUUUUAAACAACUUUUAAAAAACUACAAAAAACAACUAAAAAAUAUUAUAUGAAAAUAUCAUAUUUUUUGUUCUUAAGAAUAGACGACAGAAAACAUUUUUUGAUUACUAAACCUGUUUUCUAAUUUUUUUGUUUUGAAAAACGAAAAAUUUGUUCUAAAAAAUAAUUACCAAACAUGCCCAAUCUUUCUAUAUCUUGCAUGUCAUCUCAUCUUUUUAUAUUUAAGAAAGGUUUUUUACUAUAAUAAUGAAUUUAUACAUAUCAAAAAAGUGGAACCAAUUAUGAUGUAAUACAUAUGUAAUUAGAUUUUAUUGUUUUACACGUAAAUCCGUUACAUUAUUUGUUGGAAAGUGUUACAAAUUCCUAACCCAAAUUCUUAAUUAAUAUUCCUAAAUUGAUAUAUUAUUAUAAUAUUAUAUAUAUUUUUAUAUAAAUAAGAAAAAUUAUUGAAAAUAUCUUUAUAAAUAUUUUAGGUCAUGAGAGUAAAAAGUUAUAAAAUGAAAAUGAACUUAUAAAAAUUAUAUAAAAUGGAUGGAGAUAUGAUAAAGAAUAGAAAACACCUGAUGGUGGGAAAAUACAUAAUAUUUUAGGAAUCCAACAAUUAUAUAUAAUUUUAUCCUUUAUAAUAUUCUAUAUAAUAUGAUAAAAUGAUUUUUUUCUCUUAUUUAUGAAUAUAAACAUAGUUAACGGAACCACGUCAAAACCCCAUCUUUAUAUGAAUUAUUUUAUUUUUGUAUUUUUCAAUUAACAUUGUUUUCAUUAAAGCUUCUGUUGCCAUAAUAUUAUUUUAUAUUAUGAUUUUAUUGUUAUAUAAGUUGGUGUCAUUUUUUAUCAUUUACACUCUCAUAAAAAGACAUAAAUUUCAAGGUACAUUUUGAUCUAUGGAGGUCACAAAAUCGAUGGCUAAGGUUUAGGAGCCUAACGUUUUCCCUGUUAUGUUUGGUUCCUUAAAAAUACUAAGGAAAGAAAAAAAAAAUGUAAAGAAAAAUGAUUUAUUCAUGUUUGGUUGUCUUAUGAAAAAAAAAAAAAACAAAUAUAAUUAAAACUAAUUAACACUUAUGUAUUUUUAAAUUAUUUAAUCUUUAUAUUGAUAAAUUAAAAUAAAUAAAAUAAGUUUCAAGUAACAAAAAUAAUAAUUUAUCAAUUAUUUAUUUAUUUAUUUAUUUAUUUUUCGUUUUUUUUUUUUCUACUUUUCCUUUGCAUUUUCUUUUGCGGACGUUUUUCUUCAAAUUUUUUGAGACCAAACAUAGCCUAUAAAAGAAUCAUUAGGAAGGUACAUUGAAUUGAUGUAACAUCUAACAUAAAAUCCAGGAGAGGCCGUGUGAAAUGUUUGGUACUAGAUUGUCUCAGUUACAUCCAUUUAAAUGGAUAAGUCUUAGAAAUGAAAAGAAUCUUGGGUAAUAUCAAAUAGAUGCUGGUGAUGAUGACGAUGAUGGGGCUUGUGGGGUGUAAAAUCAGGGAGCUGAGGCGACAUUGUGACUAGGAUUUUGAUUGAAGUUGUUGCACACAUGUUGCAUUUUCUGAGGUCUGCCAGUUGAACUCAUCUCCAUCGUUACGUGGUUGUUGGAGCAGUGAGGCCCGUGAGGGCCACCCAUUAAACUAGAUCGCUACCAAAAAAAAAUUCAACCGAAUGUGGGCAUCCACCUUAAUCCGAGGAUAAUCAUCCUCAUUUGUUUUUCUGGUUUUUUUUUUAAAUAUCAUUUUUAAAAAGUAUUAAACCCGAACCCACUCUCCUAUCAAGUCAAAUUUUGAUAUCACAUUGAAUUAUCAUUUUUUUUAAAUAUUUGGUUCCGAAAAAUUUGAAGGAAAAUAUGAGGGAAAGAAAAUAAAAAAGAAAAAUGAAAUAAAAGAAAAAAUGAAGUAAAAUUAAUAAAUUGUUUUUAUAUGUUUUUUUCAAACUUAUUUUAUUUAAUUUUUUUGAUUAUAUAAAGAUUAAAUAAUUUUAAAAGGUAUAAAUUUCUAAUUAAUUUUAAUUAUAUUUAUUUUAUUUUUUUAUAGUGAAGUCAAACAUGAAAAAAUCAUUUUCCUUUAUAUUUUUUUUCUUUCCUUGGUAUUUUUCGGGAACUAAACAUAAAAACGUUUAAAUUUAUAGAAUUUGAAUGCAUAAUGUAUAUUAUAUAUUUUAACACUCUUCCUCACGUAUGCUUUGAUGUUUCCUUGAACUAUCAAUUUUCCUAAAAAUUUAAGUAUGUAGGAUUUGGAUGCAAAAUGUAUAUGAUAUACUUUAACACCAUUCCUCACGUAUACUCCAUUCUUAAGCUUACAUUUAAACUUAAUAAAUUAGAUAAAUAAAUAUGCAUCAAGGAGGGCUGAACACUUAAUCUCCCUUUAGACAAAUCUAUCAUAUUAAAUUAUCAAUUUUCUUAAAAAUUUAAACUUAUAGGAUUCAGACUCAAUAUACAUAUCAUGCUCUUUAACAUUUUUUUAUCACUUAUUUUAUUUUCUAUUGAACUCUUUUUAUUUUCAUUUUUUAUUUUUUGCAUUAAAACAAUGAGUUUAAAAGACGAAUUUACUUUUAUACUAAAUUCAUCUCUUUAAAAAAUAAUUUCCACUUGAAAUUCAAAACAAUGGUAACUUUAGAACGAUUUUUUAUUGUAUGGUUUUUUAAAAAAUAUUUAAAAAAAUUAUAUUACUCCUGCUAGAGACCUCCUUUUUCCACUUAUUAUAAAUUUGAUAAUAUUUUUAAAACUAUUAGUCUAUUACAUUUUAAUUUCUUAAUUUACUUUAUUUUUUAUUUUUCAAAAUCUCCUCUCGACCUCCUAUUUAUUUAUUUAUAUUGGAUUGAGGCUUAGAAUUUGGCCGGAUGCAAGGCCAUGCCAAAUCUAUCUAUUUCUUCAAUUAAUGCCAAAUUCAACUUGAGAUCAGUUCGAAUCAUAUCAAGUGUGCAAGCAGCUUGACUUUCUGAGUCUUGGCCAUGAAUUAUUACUAAAUAAAAAACUUAAAAUUGACUCUUUUAAUAAAAAAUAAUUAUCUAAAAAAUAUAAAAUACAAUUAUAUUAUAAAAUAAGAUCUCUCGAAAUCAUAAAAUAUAUUAUCAAUUAUUAAUUUAUAUUAUUUAAAAGGAUGUUUGUAUUUUAUACCUCAAAAUCAUAACAUUGACUUAUUUAUUUUAUGUUAGCCAAAUCAUGUAUACAUACAAAUAAAAAAUAAAAAAACAAUGAUUAAUGUAUGGAGUGCACUAACACUCGACGAUCUACUAAUAAAAAGAAACUAGAAGAAUUAUAAUAGUGAAACUCUCUAAAUCACCUUUUAAUUGCGGCCGCAUUCUCUAAAAAAUAAAACUCUAAAAUAUAAAAUGGUUAAAUAUAUAAUAAGGGGUAAAUUCGUAACUCAUUUCAUGAAAAAAAUAAAAAAUAAAAUCUCUAGUACAUGUUUGUCCCUUCAACCCUUGCGAGUUAACUAGUUGAUUUUUGUGAGCUUAGCAAUAAGCUCGACCUCCACGAGUGAACUAAACAACUUGACCCUUGACAUCAUGAGUGAAAUGUAACAAAUCUAAUUCAAGAUUCAUAUUAAUCCAAUAUUUUAUUAAACUUGAUAGUUCACUACCUAUCAAACCCUUUUUGUUCCAAAAUAAAUAAAUUAUAAAAAAAAUUGUCUUAUUUUUAAAACAAAUAUGUAACAAAAAUUCAAGCCCUUAUUAUUAUUUUCAUUCCCACCAAAUCACCAACACACACGAACAAAAAAUAAAUAAAACACAAGAUUUCUAACAUGGUUCGACAAUCAAUGUGAUCUUUAUGUCCAUGGAAUGCACUAAUACUCAACAAUUCACUAAUAAAAAAGAACAAUAAGAGUUAUAAUGGUGAAAGUUUUUUAAAACACCUUUCAAUUACGACUGUACUCUCUUUGAAAAAAAAACAUUUAAAAUAUAAAAGGAUGAAAUAUAUAAUAAAGACAAACUCAUCAUUCAUCUCAUAAAAAAAAAAUUCUCCACAAGGUGCUACCCCCUUCGACCCCCCGCGAAUUAACCAGACAACUUGAUAAUUGCAAGCUCAACUGUGAGUUUCACACCUUACGAGUUGACUAGGCAACUCAACUUUCAACAUUCUAAGUGAAACACAAUAAAAUUGAUUCAAACUUUAUAAUCUAACAUUUUAUUAGUCUUGAUAAGUCACUAACUAUCAACCCUUUUUGUUCCAAAAAACCAAGCUAUAAAUGUUUUGUAUUAUUUAAAACAAAAAUACUUAUUAUUAAAACAUAUCAAAAAAAAAUUAUUUCCAUUUCCAUGAUAUAGAAGUGAAGUCUUGAGUUGUUAUUAUUAUUUAUUCUUUACUUGAAUAAAAACCCAAAAAAAAAAACACCUAUUAUUUGUUAAUAACAUAUGUGAUGAUUAUACAAGAAAGUCCAAAACACCUUAUUCCAAACUUGAAAGUUUGUUGUACCUUUCACUCUUUAUUUGUCCUUUAUUAACAUAUUAAAUUUAUAAAAUAUUAAUUAGAUAUAGUCAUGCUAUUUCUUUAAUUUCUAUUUGUUAAAUAAAAAAUCUGAAUUUAUGAAAGUGCCUAAACCAUACUUUUAAUGGAAAUUAAUUUUGAUAUCUAUAAAAUUUUAUACACUAAAAAUUUAUGGGUGAAAUCCUGGAAAGAGUUUAAGAUAAAGAUAAAUAAAUUUACGGUGAGUUUUAGAAGUUUUUAAAAACCUACUAGUAUGACUUGUUUGGAUUUGAUUAUAUAUAAUUUUUGUUUUUAUAAAUAAAAAUAUUAUUUCUAUAUCCAUCUCAUUUUGCCCCGUUCUAUUUAAAAACAAAAUUUGGACAAUAAUGAAAAUACAUAUAAAUAAAUUAGACGGAGUAGGGAUGGGGUCAAUUGACUUGAGUUGAACCCGUUUCAUUAAUGUCAUUCCUAUUUGCGACCACCACUUGCAAGACACAUGGCGAUAAUUUAUAAUAACAAAAUCAUAUAAACAUAAACCCUCAUUUCAAAAUAAAUAAAGUGACAAGUUGUAAAAUCAACAAACUAAAGCACGAAAUACUUAGACUAAGAAACACUCCACUAGAAGAAUUAGAGGUUUGGUUACUUCUAGAAUCGGAUGCAGUCCCUGCACCAAAAACUGAAAACGGGGAUGGAGCCGAAAAUGGAGAUGGAGAUGGAGACAAUGAUAUGGAUGGGAACAUGGUUUCCGGAGACGGGGAUGCCAUGGGCGAUGUCUCCCAGUAACUCUCAUUACCUGCAAUACAUUCAUCAUUAGUGUACGUACUCAUAAAUAUUAGAGUUGGAGAAAGCUUCUGAAUGGAGGAAUUUCUCAAGCUCGAUGGCAAUUACCUGAGCAAUUAACAUGAGAAGAAUUUACCAAGCUGCACCAAGAGAAAAAAAAUUAGGAACUUUUAACAAAGCUUUACAUACGUAGUGAAGAAAAGCAGUAGUUGAUUUGGUCUACAUAUAUCUUGGACAUGCAGGUUCUGUAAAAUUAUUUGGUCAUAUUUGGCUUGAUUUUUAGAAAAUGGGAGAGCCCCACAUGAAUAAAAGGGUUGUCAUACCUUCUGAAAAUUUUCCGACCGCCAUGGCCACGGUACACACAAGUGGUGAUGUUGCACCCAGCAGGAGUUUUGGUGACAACCACAUCGCCUAUGAAGAGAUGGGAUGCUUUGCACUGUAAACGAUUGCAGGCGACCAUGAUCCCAGAUGGAAAGCAUUGCAGGCUGAUCAUCAAACAAUGAAAUUAAAUAUAUGAUGAUGUAGAGCUAAUAAUGAAAAAGAAAAUAUAUAGAAAAAAAAAGGGAGUUUGAUUACUUGAGAUGAGUGGGUGUGCAGCUACAUCUGAUGCAGUUAUUGGCAGUGAGAGCAUAGGAGCCAUUUGCAACUAUUAGGCUUUCGUUGUACCACCUGAGAUUUGCUGAUGAACAUGCUGCACAUACACCAUCAAGCUACUCAAAAUGGUAUUCACAAUCACCAAGUAAUUUAUACACAUGUUGUGAAAAUGGUUUAAGAGACCGGUGGUAAUUUGUGUCGGUACUUCGUGUUUGUGUCUUGUCAAAGAGUAAGUAUUUUAAUUAUUAAAUAGGUAAUAUGUUGUGUCGUCAAUUUAAUCUAUUUAACGAUCAGAUCAUCUUAUCAUAUAAUUAUAUAAUUAAUGUCUUAACUAGAUAUGCUUUUACUUCAAUUUAUUGAUAUUUUCGUUAGACGAUACAUUUUACUUAUAUAUCGUAUCGAUCUUCUCCGAUACACGAUAUCUCCCAAUAUUUUUGUCAUUGGUUAUAAGUAUAUAAUUUAUAUAAUAUUAAAAUUUUUUAAAUUAAGAAUAUAUAUAAUUAAAAAACUUAAUAACAUUUUAUUUUUUAUUUUUUAAAUUAUUAAAUUAAAUGAUAAAGAUAAAUAUAAAUGUAUUAAAUAUUAUUAAUUUAAAUAUAUAAAAUACUUAUAAUAUUUAAGUAUAAAUAUAUAUUUGAGAUAAAAUAAAAUUUUAUCAUUUAAUUUUAUUUACAUGUCAAAAAUUAUAUAUUCUAUUAUUUUAUAAUUUUAAAAAUUAUUAUAUUAUUUUAUACUUCAUUAAAAAAAUAAACAGGGAGUUAAAUAUUUACAACUUAGUAAUUUUCUUCAAUAGUUUCCCAAAUUAAGACUUGAUUGACAGAACAUCACUUAUUUCUAGUAUCCUAUCCCCACCUAAGGAGACAAAAAAGGUAAAGACAAAGGUGGGGUUAUGGGUUAUGACCCUUUUCAGAUUAUGGCCUGGUUGGUGUGUGACAGUAAUUGACCCUAAUUUUUCCUCCAAUCUGAGUAAAAUUAAACCCUCAACAAACAACCGAGAAGUAGUCCAAAAAUUUUAUGUAGCUCCAACGAGUCCAACCUACCAAAGAGCUCACGGGUUAUGCAAGGUGACCAAGGACAUAUAUACCAGUAAAAUCUACAGUUUUACUAUACCACUAGUAUAAAUGCGUGUAGUGAAAUCUAAAUUAUUGGACAUGACAUAAACAAAGGUAGAAGAUGUAGACAAUGUACAUGUUCCUUAUCUAAAUUAUUGGACAAUGACAUAAAGGUAGAAGAUGCACACAAUGUACACGUUCCUUAUACCGAAAAAACAAAGUCGUAUGUUUCCUCGUUGUUUCUUCCAUAUCUAAUAACUUAAGAUUUGUGAGGCAAUCGAUGGUUUAUGAUAGUCUUAAUUGUUAAUUAAUCAAAUUUAUCCUAGGUGUUAGGAAGUGUCCUAAAUUCCUAAUUAGUAUAGAUUCAUUUUUUGUAAAGAAUAUUAUAUAAAAUAUUUCUAGGUUAAUAUAUUAUUGUAAUAUUAGACUUCCUUAUAGAAUAAGGAAGGUUGUUGGAAAUAUUUUUAUAAAUAUUCUAGGUCAUAAGGGGAAAAAGUUAUGAGAUGGUGAUGGGCUUGUAGAGACUAUACGAGUUGGAUAGAGAUAUGAGGAAGAAUGGGAGGUACCCGAUGGAGCAAGAGGGCUCGUAGUAAGGUAUGGUGGGGAAACAUGAGAUAUUUUGAGAACCCAAUAAUUAUAUUUGGUUCUGUCCUCUGUAAUAUUCUCUAUUGUAUAGUGAAAUUAUUCUCUCUCAUCCGUGGAGGUAGGCAUGUAGGCAUGGUUGGUCGAACCACGUUAAAACCUCAUGUACCAUAUGUGUGAUUGUUUUAUCUUUGUGUUCUUAAACUAACAUUGUUGGCAUCAAAGUUUUCGUUGGCAUAACACUAGGCAAUUCGAAGAAGAACAAGCGUGUGAGAGUCUCAUAUAUCAUCAACAUAUCUACAAUUUUUGAGGAAAUUAAGGGCACAACAAUCCUAGGUUCCAGCAGAAAUUGGUGAUGAUAAUCGACUAACCUGGUAUUGGGAUAGCCAGAAUGUCUCCGGGGUUGAUCACCGGUUGGCCGAGGCCGUUAACCGCGGCCAAGUCAGUGACAGUAGUAUGAUAUCGAGCUCCAAUGCUGCCCAAGCUCUCCCCUCUCUGUACCACAUAUGACAUGUACACAGCAGUCGCACCGUUGUUUGUGUUACCAAAACAUGUGCAUGGCAAUGGAAUCACAAGGCUCUGCCCAUACCCAGCCCCUUUUCCUCCAUUAACGCUUCUUAUCUGAUCUGCACUCACAAGCCCCCCGUACCCCUCUGAUAUUAAAUCCAUCGUGUCAGCCGCUUUGACUGUGUAAGUAGUGGACAGAGAACGGCGAAUGCCGUCCACACAAGGACACAGGAUGGGGACUUUCACGAGUGAUUUUGCAGGGAUGAUUUGGCUUGCAGAGGAUGGCCUUGUUGGGUCCAUGGAGUUGGUAGCCAAGAUAUCAGAGAUGUUGACUUGGAAGCGUGAUGCAAUCUCAGAGAGCUUGGAGUCCCAAGGAAGAAGAUAGGAGAGAAGAGAGUUGCAGGAGUCUGAAGAACUGCACGGUUCAAUUACAGACUUUGCUUGCGUUAUGGAACCAAAAGAAAGUAAAGAAAGUAAAGAAAGAUGAAGAAGAAGAAGAAGAAGAAGACGGUGGAAUUGAUCUCUCAUUUCUUUCUUCUUUUUUUUCUCUGGAGUUGGGAGCCAGGUGGGUUGGCUGUGGCCUGUGAAGAAGACAAUAUAAUUAUCAGAAAGAUAGUUGGGAAGACACUGACAGAGACAAAAGCAGAGAAGAUGAUAAGGGGGUUGAAGGGAGGAUAGGACAAUGGAUACCCAUCUAACUCCUGAGAAGGUCAGCCAUGGAACCUAACAGUCAUUGGGGAUUACUGGCUUAGCAGGUAUCAUCACACUUCUCAAAAAGGUGAUAUAUAUGGUGAUAAUCAAGCCAACCGCCUUCUUAAUUGAAUGGGGCCUCUCUCCCCCUUUCUGGAAAUGCUUACAUAUCCCUCCAAGGGAUUCCAAGCUGUAGUUUAUAGCUUGCAGAACAUUACAAUUAAUGGUCAGUGUCCUAUUACAAUUGCCUGGGAUUUUUUCCUACAAAUGAGUGGAGUUUAGUAUGGUUGGUAGGUUGGAAUUAAUUUCUUUAAGGUGAAAUGAAACCUAAUCUUUGCAGAUUUUCUGAAAUAGUAACCCUAGUGUUUUGGAAAGUAUUGCCAUAUUCUUUUAGAUUUGCAGAGAUUCUUGCUGACUAAAGUUUAUUAGGAAUGGAUUGUAGAGCUGGAAGAUUGGUUAUUUUGUCAGGACAUUGACCAGUUAGGAAAUGACAAUAUUACCCUUUUGGUCUUCUUGGCAAAAAAUAAUGAAAAAAAAAAAAAAAAUCAUCUUUAUGGGGUGGAAAAACAACAUUAGACAUGAAUCCUCCUGAUUUUGGGUAAUUUUUUUGUUUUGGACUUUAUUUUGAAUUAAUUCAAAUAAUUUUCAUGAUUUAAAACCCAAAAAUAAACAUAAAUAUUUACUCCAUAUUUAUUUUUAUAAUAAUUAUAUAAUAAAAAAAUAAAAAUAUAUAAUUUUGGAAAUUAAAUAUUAUAAAUUUGUUUUCAUCUUAAAUAUAUCUUUUUACUUAUAUAUGUUAUUAUAAUGAUAAAUAUUAAUACAUUUAUAUUUAAUUUGAUAGUAUUUAAAUAUAAAAAUAAAAUAUUAUUAAGUUUUUUAAUUAUAAAUAUUUUUAAUUUGAUAUAAUAUAUAAAUAAUAUAUCUAAUAAUAUUUCUGUGUUUAAAAUUUUUUUCUUCAGCAUAACAUGCUAAAGUUAGGGGUUGGGGGGAACAACGGCAUUUGAUAAUCGACGGCCAAGCACAGAAUAUCCCCGCUCAUGAGAGGCGGCGAUCGUCGACUCCCUCCAUCCGUACACUAUCCGGCGACGUCUGGACGCAAACGCAAGCCCUCUGCCAUCCCGAAGCAAUGUCAUGAUCACGUAAAAAGGCAAAGAUUGGUUGUCAAAGAAGAAACCGUAACCCUAAUAGCCAACGGAGCUGACGAGCUGCCCACAUCAAACAGAUUCAGUUCAAUUCAAUGUUCACAACGACAGGAGAAGAAGCGGAAGAAGCUAAAAAGAAGACAAAAAUCAGCAACAACAGAGGCUCAUCGCAGAUGGGUUUUCUCUACUCGCGAUUUAUCCGAUUACAAAGGUUCGAGAUUCUAACUCAUUACAUGUGUAUCUUUUUAUUAAUUCAAUUUCUUGUAGUGGGUUUUAAGUGGUCCCAUGUGACAAUGGUUGUUGGUUCAAUUUUGAGUUUACGAGAAUUGUUCGUUUUUGAAAUGCAUAGUAAGGUGUUACAGAAGAUUGUCUUCAGUCUUGUUUGAAAAUUAAUUGAUAGGGCCGAGUAAUUGGGGUUGGGCUAAUUAUCUACAUUCAGUUCGUGGCCAAGUUUCAAUCCAGGGAUUGCUCCUAAUUGGUCUCAGGGGACUUUGUUGAUUGUGGGCCCAUGUGGGUCCAGUGGAGGCCAUGCGAAAGAAUCCUCUACACCUGACAAUUAUGGACUAAUUUGUAGGGAAAGCUCUCAUUUUGUGUCAAAGCAUGCAUAUAAGGACUUUCAAGAUGAUCAGUUUGAUCCUUUUCGAAUGAAGAUUUAAGUGCAUUAUUUAGCAUGUUUCAGCCUAUGUUAGUGCAAAAUUGAUUGUUUUAUAGACAAUGUUUCUUAUGGAAUUUGUGACUAGCCACUUAAAUAUAUAGACCGUGCUUUGGGAGGAAAGCCAAGAACUACUGAAUUGAUGAGUUACAAAAACUUGAAUGUUGGAGAGAGUGCAGUGACUUAAUGUAAUUCUACCUCCUAUCAGAAAUAAAUUAUCUGGAAUUCUGACUUAAUUCGAGUUCCUUUUUAGCAUUCCUGCUUUUGUGGCUGAGAGAUGGUAGAAAUUGCAGAAGAGUUUCCUAUGGGAAACUAUGGAUAGGAAAUAUCACUUAGUGGGUUGGAUAAAAUCGUGUGCUGUAAACAAUACAGUGGCCUGGGCUUAGGAGAUUGGUGACCUUUAAUGUAGCUUUCUUGAUUGAAUGAUUGUGGAGGUUUGCAGUAGAAAUGAGUAGUUUGUGAAGAUGUAAGUGGCUGGGAAGUACAGAGAGGAGUAUUGUUUGUAUUCUUUCAUUAGUAGAAAUCUGCAGAGGAUGGUCCUUUAGAGAGGGAUUAGGAAGGGGUGGGAAAUGUUCUUUAGACAGAUGUUUGUUGUAGUUAGGGAUGCAUAACAAGUCCAUUUUUGGGCAAGCACUUGGCUGAACACCAUGGGAGAUGGCAUUGAACUACUUUAGGGGUUCCCACAUUUACUCCAUUUGGCAGAACAAAGGAGGUUAUGGCGGAAAACUAUUUGAGCUGCUUGGGGGUGAGAAAUCUUGGACAUUUUGCUUUAUUACGGCUUUACAUAACUAUGAGGUGGAGGCAGAUGGGGUAAUUCUUUGUAGUGUUAUUUGUAGGAUGUGUUCUCAAAGUCAGAAAGGCAAUUCUAUCAGAGGGAAUGGAUUCUCUCUUUUUUUUGUAAUUGUGUAAUUAUACUUGUUUUCUAUGAUAGCCAUGUAUCCACAGUCAAAAAACAAAGUUCUAUUCAAAAUCCUUGGUUUAUCUAGUGUGUUUGACACAGGUUCACGCAUGCUGGAGCCAGUGAAGUUUCUUGGGUGGUAGCUAUUUGGCAAUCACUUUCAUGAAAAUUCUGUGUGUCGUCUUCAAGUUUGGUUGAUUGAACAAGUAAUAUAAGGAAACUUUUUGGGUUGAAGAUGGGUUCCAUUUUCUGUUUUUAGUCAUGGAUGCUAAUAAUAUUUUCAAAUCUUGCACAGCAUAGCUAAAUGUGAUAGACCUGUAUGAUUGAUUGGAUUAUUAUUAUUAUAUUUUUCAUGAUUUUAUUAGGUUUCUUGUACAUAACUUUUGCAUAACAUAAUGUCUCUGCUGAUAUAAUUGUAUCCUACCAACAUGUGUGAGAGAUUAAUAUUUUAAAAUAUGUUUGUGUUUAAUUAGGUUAUGUGGCCCAAGACUUUGUGAGAGUUGGUGACAGUUCACAUUAAAGUUUGGGGCAUAAGGGUGGGGUGGUGUGAGUCUGCAAGUUUAUGGGCUCUUUGGAAAGAAAAGAAUAUGAUACCUUUUUAAGGGUAAGACUAGGUAAACCAAAGCUAUGUGUAACAGGAUUAUCCACAUGGUGGCUUUUUUGCAUCUUAGCUGGAUCAGUUUAGUGGAACUCAUGUGAUAGACUUCAACAUGGGUUUGAAUUUUUUUUUCUUUGUUUGACUUGUGCUCAUUUUUUGUUGGUUUUGCCUUUAGUUGGAUUCAUGCAUUCCAUCCUAAGGAAUUUAAUGGGAAUACCUUUUCCUACCCACGUGAAGUCAGUCCUCCAAACGACUUUUUUAGUCUUAACUUUGAUGGUUGUUCUUUAGGAAGCACAGGUGAAAUCUGAACACAUUUUCUCUUUUAAGGGAUUCUUUUAGAAACUGUAUUAAUGUAAACUCUCCUGCUCUUUUAGAACUGUGAUUCUUACUUUUCUUUGCCUUUUUGUCAUGGAAAAACUUGUAGGGCUGAAUUCGGAGCUCUAAAUUGGUCUGAGAGAAGCUGAAAAAUUGGAUGUUUAACAACUGAGCAUGUUUGCCAGAAUGUUGUGAAAUGGAUCAAACAAGGAAAAGCAGGAUGUUGCAAUAUUUUUUUUAUUCCCCCUCCCCUCCUUUUUGAUAAUCACAUCUUGCUGAUCUUCUUAAGGAAGCAAGUGAUUUGUAAAUAACUGUGCAACCUAUCUUUUCUGUGGUUGCCAGAGAGUCAUGAUAACAAGGUUAAGUGUCUUUUCUUUAGAGGGUAUCUUGUGAAACACUACACCUUGUCAAGGGUUUCUAUUUGUCUUUGGGCAUUUUCUUAUCUUUAGUACUUAUGGGGAAUCUGGAAACCUCUUUUGUACUCUAUUCUCUUUCUCAGUUCAAUUUCCCAUGAAAUAUAUUCUUUCUAAAUUUUCAUUCUAUAGGAUUAUGCAUUGAACAUAGAUCUUGAAAUGAAGUAACUGUAAAUCAUAUAGGAAAAUUGCUCUUAUUUUAUCUGUGCAGUUUGAUCUUUCAUCUAGAUUACAAUGUUCAUCACACCUUUGCUCUAGCUAAACCUUUUCUUUCAUUCUGCAGAUAAGGUUGUUGUUGUUUCCUACAAUAUACUAGGUGUUGAAAAUGCAUCAAACCAUCCAGAUUUGUACUCUAAAGUCCCAACAAAAUUGUUGGAUUGGAACCGGCGAAGAAAGCUCAUUAAUAAGGAGAUCAAUCAGUAUAAUCCAAGCAUUCUUUGUUUUCAGGUAAGUGUCAGGAUGUUCUAUAAGCAUUUGAUGUGUGAAUUCUUUGUUCUAAGGAAGACUAGAGGAUGAAGAUAUUUGUCCUUUAGCAGAAGAUGAGGGCUUUGCAUUGAGUGUUAAGUAUCUGGGUUCUUUUUUGUUUUCUUCUCCCUUUCUCUCUCUCUCAGAUCCUUUCUCCAGUCCACUUUUUUUCAUCUGUGUCCAUGUGAUGUAUCUUGUUUGCUGAAGUUUCAUUUUGAUCACCUUAUGAUUCCUCUAUAUUGUUUCCCAAGCUUGAAAUUGCGUCUUGAUGUUUCUAAAUGUUAAUCAUCUUACUGGGGGUGGGGGCAUGUGCAUGUAUGCGUGCACCUGCUUGUGUUAAUCUAUGUUAUAGUUUUCCUGUGCUUAUGGAGAAUGAGUCACUGGAUAUAUGCAGUUGAAGUUUUUGCCAUUCAUUCUCAAUGAUUUUAAAGAGUGGAGCAUGUUGCAAAAUGUCUUGGAUGCGCUUGCAUUCUAAUAAUAUGCUCGCAUGGCUGCAGGAGGUUGACCGUUUCAAUGAUUUAAAUAAUCUUCUGAAAAAAGGGGGUUUUAAAGGAGUUUAUAAGGUAUAUCCUAGAUCUAAAAAAUCUUACAACAUAUAAUCUGACAUGACUACUAAUGUACGAUCUAAGUGCUGAUUUCCAAUUACCAUUUGCUCUAGGCUCGCACAGGUGAAGCAUAUGAUGGGUGUGCUAUGUUCUGGAAAGAUGAUCUGUAAGGUUUCUCAAGUCCAUUGAAAAUUGAAAACCCUUAUUAUGUUUCUGUAACAUGAUGAUAAAUGGAGUAGUAGAGUUAAUCAUGUUAAUUAUUGAUUCACUUGGAAUAUGAUUUAAUUAUUUGAAGCCCAGUGGUAGUGAUGAGGAAAACGUUAAUCAUCUUCUUAUUCAUUGUACAGUGGCUAGUGUGUUGUGGGGGAUUGUUCUUAGUCUGUUUGGAGCCCAGUGGGUCUUUCCAGAAACUGUAAAGGAGGCGGUUAUCAGCUGGAAGGGUUCUUUUGUGGGUAAAAAGAGGGAGAAAAUUUGGAGAUCCAUACCAUUAUUUAUUUUUUGGACGGUUUGGAAGGAGAGGAAUAGAUUAGCAUUCGGGGGGGGGGGGGGGGGGGUUAGCUAUACAGAAAGUUAAGAAUUCUUUUGUUUGUAAUAUGUGGGGGUGGGCAAAAUUGUAUAAUGGUGCGGAGCCUCGUUCUCUUAUAGGUUUCUUGGAGUGGAUAGCCUCCAGUUAAGGGUCGGUGGGUUUUUUUUGUUGUGAGGUCUUCGUCGCCUCAUAUACUCCCUGUAUGCUAUGCGGCGCUUUGCCUUUUGCUAAUAUUUGUGUUUAUUUAUCGAAAAAAAAAUGAUUUAAUUAUUUGAAGGUUCUUAUUUAUUUGCUUGGUAGAUCUUUCUCUAUGCCUGUUAAUGAAGAAUUUGAGUUGUAUUCUAGUUCCUUGGUAGCUGCAAUUGGAAAAAAGUUGGAUGUGGAAACAGGCAUCAUGAUUUUGUUUUUUAUGAGGAUGUUCAUUCAUAAAUUGAGUAUUCUAGUUCAAUAGCAGUGAGCAUUUUCUUUUUAUAAAUUAGUUCAUGUUUUGAUUCUUCAUUUAUUUUCAAUUUCCUCUUUUCUGAUACUUGACUUUUAGCAAAUCAUAUUUCUGAAUACAGCUUUACUCUUUUGCAUCAAGAGAACAUAGAGUUUCAAAAUUUUGGUCUCCGUCACAAUGUUGCUCAACUUUGUGUUUUGAAGGUAUGAAUGGUUGUUGAUAUUAAGAAUUAUGACUUCUAUAGCUUCUCUUUUCAGGUGCUUAUGGCUUUACUUCCUGGAGGCAUGUAUGUUAUAUUUUUAGUGCAUUUAUAGAAAAACUUAUCUGCUGAUUCCUGAUCAUUUUCAAGUAACUUGGUAACUUUUUUUUUUUUAAUUGAAUUACAAUCUACCAUGUAAAUAUCUUUUCUAAAAUUGCUCAUUUUCCCUGUUUCACCCUAUCUACUACCUCUGCAUGUGUGUUUGGGUUGUGAUAAAUGAACUAUAUGAAACUAAAAUAUCUUUUAGAUGUGAUUGCAUAUUCUAACAAUAUAUGGUCCCAACUUAAGAACAAGGAUUCUGAAAAGUGCCAAGGUUUGAUGAAGGAUAUAAUUGUACAUAGGCUUGAUGGUAAAGAAGGAUUUAGCUAGACCCAAGCAGUGGGAUUAAGGCUUUGUGGAGUUGAGAAUAAUCCAUCAAUCUAUACUCAAUAAAUGUUUGGGAGCACUCAAAUUAGGUAUAGAACUCUUGGUGUCAGAUCAAACUCCAAUCACCUUGUAGGGAAAUUAUCUAGUGAUAAAUUUGAAUUUGAAGUUCAAUAUGAGUCUCAGAAAGUUUUAAAUGCUUGACUUUGAUCAAACUUCUUCCAGUCUAUAAGUAGAAUUAUGUUGUCUUCUUAUAUAAAAGUUUACAAAAGUUUUAAGUCCAUUUACAUAGGCAAGAGUAUAUAAAAGUAACAGAUCUUUUGGGUACCCUUUCCUUGCAACCUACAAUUUUACCAACAAAGGCGAAUUGGCUCAUAACAUUUUGUGAGUUGCAUUUGUUUAGUUAUACUAUUUCUCUUUUUAUUUUGUGGAUAUUUCUUGAACUUUUGACAAUUUGUUUUUAAAUUGGUGAGCCACAUCAACUUGUUUAAGAUUUGAUUUUAAGAUGUCUACCUGAUUGGUUGAGGGACAUGUGCUUUUAGUCUGUCCAGCAUGAUGCCAAUAUUAUAACUUUUGUGUUUUCCACAUCUAUUGUUUUUAUAUUUCUUUGCCUACAUGCUUUGCUGCUGUGGAGAAGAUCACUCUUGCUUCCAACUUUUGACAUAUUUUCUUUCUCUUAGUUGACUUUUCUUUUUCUUGUAUAAUAAUUCUAUUUUCAUUUUUUUUUAAAAUCAGAUGAAUCGAAAUCAGUCCAAUUCCGAUGUAGAUACUAAAGCAUCACAGUAAGUUCUCACACAUGAUUUUCUUUUUCAAGUAACAAAAUUAUAUUAAUAAUGAAAAUGCAUUACAACAAAAGGAUGAGAGAUAUCUAACAGAGGCUAAAGGAGAAUAGAAAAAGAAAAAUGUGGUGGUAUAGAUUAAAUAAACACAAAGCAAUCCAACCACAAUUCAAGGGGGGCUGAAAACCCCCAUGAAGACAUCCAUGGACAUGGCACCCUUCUUGGUUAGCCUGUCAGCUGCUUUGAUCUAGGCUCCAAAACUCCAUGUCUGCUGAUAAGUUGGAAAUCUCUCUCACACCAAUGCUCCAGCAGUCUCUCUCUUGGAAGUUAAGCAAGAAAAUAACCAGCGAAGCAUCCCCUUACAUAAGAAGGUUCUUGAUCCUCAUAGAGAGCCUCUCUCAAGCAGCCCAAGAAAGCUAAAAUUCCCACCUUGAUGCCGAAACCAAAAUCAGCUAACUUCAAGAAAUCCCCACAUGAUAUUACGAUCAUACUUGUCAUUUCUUUUCCAGCCAUGCCUUGCAUGCUAUAGCUGGAGUAGCACAAGGCUACUGCAAUAUGCUUCUUUUCUUGCCAAAGCCUUCAAAGGAAACAAUCAUCAUAUCUGAUAUCCAUAGAGGUGACCGUUAAAUCCCUGCUUAGGAAAUAGUCAUCAUAAGAUCAGGGCUUUUUUAUAAUGCUAUUCUUCUCCUAUGAAAUCAAUUGUUUGUUUCCCAUCAGGGGGAAAAAAAUCAUCUGCAGUUUUUCCAUUAGCUAGGCAAGAAUACACCUUUCAAGACAUUAGAUUUUGUGAAUUCCAAUUUAAAAUAUGCCUUUGUUAUUGUUCUCAUUGGACCGAACUGAUAAACCUUUGUCAUUGUUCUGUCUGACUGAACUGAUAAACCUUUGUAAUUGCACUUAAUUCUUGUAGUUUUAGCUUUUUAUUUGUCUGGGGUGCUCAUGAAGCCAUGUCUUCUGUCAAGCCUCACCUUACAGAUGUAGGCCUUAUGCAUUGUGUGUUAGACUAAAAUGGGUUCUGAUUAUAACAUUAUAAGUUUUUUUUUUUUUCUUUUUGAUAGGUAAGUAGAGCUUGUAUUAGAAGAGCCUAGAAAUGAUGAAAACAGUACACACUAAGUAUACAAUCAGAACACCAAAAAAACUAGGCGAAGAAAACAAAAAACCUUUCCCCUAGCUAGACAUAUAGUCAUUCUAUAAAGUCAAUCAUAGACAAAGUAUGAUCCUCUAUAAACACCCUAACCCAAUUUACAAGAGUAUACAAAAAGGAAUGUUUUAAAGCUUGGUUCGACCGUUUGAUACCAUUGAAUGCUCUUUCAUUUCUUUCUAUAAGGUCCACAUUAAGCAUAAAGGGGCAGCCCUCCAAGUCUUCUCCCUUCUCUUACCCACAAAGGCACCAUGCCAACCAAGCAAAUUCCUUUUAAUUGAAGAAUGCAAAACCCACUGCACACCAAAAAAAGGAGAAAAUCAAACUCCAAAGCAUUGUAACCUUUUUACAAAACAAGAUUAAAUGAUCACUAGUUUCCUCUUUCUCUUUACACAAGUAGCACCUAUUCGGCAUAUUCCAUCCCCUCUUUUUGAGCUGAUCGAUGGUCGAAAUUCUUGUUCCCAGACACUUCCCAAGCAAAAACGCUCACCCUCAUAGGAGCCUAAGACCUCCAAAUAAGACCCCAAGGAAAAGGGUCACUAUAGGCCCUCAUGAGGGAGCAGUAGAGGGAUCUAACAAAGAAAAUGCCGUCCCUACUUUCUUUCCAACUCAAAGCAUCCUCCACUUCUCUUCUCACUACCAAAGGAUGCAAUUUUCAGAAUAAGCCCUCCAACUCUUCCAAUUUCCAAUCAUUAAAAUGCCUUGAGAAGUGAGGAUUCCAACAACCUGACUCCCCACUCCUCUCCCAAGCAUUUGACACCCAUUCAUCUUUGCUAACCGCCAAUCAAUAUAGGUUUAGGGAAUGCUUCUUUCAAUGUUUGGUCUUUACACCACAAGUCCUUCCAAAACUUGACCUUUCUCUCAUUCCCAACAAUAAAGCGAGAUCUACAACGAAUACCCUUCCAUUCUUUUCUAAUGGCUUUCCACACCCCCACACCAUAGCCUUCCCUUGCCACUCUCGAACACCACCCUCCUUCCUCUAACCCAAAUUUGUUGAUGAUGACUUGUUUCCAAAAGGACUUCCUCUUUACCGCAAAUCUCCAACUCCACUUCCCAAGUAAGACUUUGUUUAGAGCCACAAGUCUACAAAUUCCUAAGCCUCCCUCCUUCUUAUCAAUACAAACCAAGCUCCAAUUCCCCAAGUGAGUUUUUUUUUCUAAGGCAACACCACCCCACAAAAAGUCCCUUUGAAUCUUUUCAAGUCUUGCACACACCUUCCGCAGAAUAACAAAGAGAGAUAGGAAGCAAAUUGGAAGACUUGAUAAAGUACUUUUUAUCAAGGUGAGCCUCCUCCCCUUAAAGAGAUAUUGCCUUUCCCACAAAGACAAUCUUUUCCCGAAUCUCUCUUCCACUGCAUCCCACACCCUAGAAGAUUUGAAUGAGGCACCCAAAGGAAGUCCCAGAUAAGAAGUAGGGAACUUCCCAACUCUAUACCCCAUCAUUGAAACAACAUCUUCCAAAGACUCAAUCCUUCCUCUGGGGAUAACCUCACUUUUAUCUUUAUUCACUUUUAAAUUAGAGAUUGCCUUGAACCACAAAAACACUCAACUCAAGUAUCUCAGAUUUUCACUAUUGGCAUUGCAAAAAAUUAGAGUGUCGUCGACAAACAGGAGAUGGAGCAAGUCCUUCCCUUCCCCACCGCUUCUUCCCAUCUUAAACCCCCCAACGAAGCCCCCACAACUGGUUCUAGACAGCAGUUGACUGAGAGCCUCCAUGACCAAAAUGAAAAGAUAGGGAGAUAGUGAGUCACCUUGUCUCGAGCCCUUAGUGCUGUGGAAGAAGUCGGAAUGGGUUUCGUUGAUUAAAACUGAGAAGUUAGUGGUGGAGAUACACCACCUGAUCCAGCUAAUCCACCUUUCUUCAAACCUCAUAUUAGACUUGACAGCAAAAAGGAAGUCUCAGUUGACAUGGUCAAACGCCUUCUCAAUGUCCAAUUUUAGAAGGAGGCCAGGAUGUUGACCUUUAACCUAGAAUCCACAGCCUCAUUUGCAAUCAAGGCAGCGUCUAGAAUCUGUCUACCCCAAAUAAAGGCAUGCUGGUUGUAACGACCUGCUCCCAACCGUGUAGAUAUUGUCUGCUUUGAACCCAAAGGGAGCCCUCACGGCUUUAAAACGCGUCUACUUGGUUAAGAGGAGCCUCUACAUAUAUAGCGCCAGGAACUUUCUCCCCUAUCCGAUGUGGGACAUCACAAACACCCCCCCAUGCAGACACAACGUCCUCAUUGUGUCCCAUGGGAUUGUGGGGUCCAACAGACAAACACCCCUUACGGAACCAAACAAACCCUCACACCGGGGUCGGGGAUCGGCUCUGAUACCAUUUGUAACGACCCACUUCCAACCGUGUAGAUAUUGUCCGCUUUUGACCCAAAGGGAGUCCUCAUGGCUUUAAACGCGUCUAUUUAGUUAAGAGGAGCCUCUAUAUAUAUAGCGUCAUGAACUUUCUCCCCUAUCCGAUGUGGGACAUCACACUAGUUAUUUGAAACCAACAUCCCUACUAUUGACUUCAACCUAUUUGCUAGGACUUGGGCGAGAAGCUUGUAUAGUCCUCCAACCAUACUGAUCGGUCUAAAGUCUUUCAACCCUUCCGCACCCUUUUUUUUGGGAAUUAAAAGUAGUAAAGUGGAGUUUAAACCCCUCUAGAAUGUGCCAAGGCGAAAGAAAUCUUCGAAAAGAGCCAUAAUCUUAGUUUUAGUAAAAUCCCAGCAAAAGUCCUAGAACGCCAUGGUGAAGCCGUUUGGGCCUGGUGCUUUGUCACUAGAAAGGCUGGAAAGGGCUUCAAACACCUCUUUCUUCCAAAAAUGGCUCUUCUAAACUUCUAUACCUUUUUUCUCCCAGCACUCUAAACUGAAGACUCCCAAGACGCAGCCUCCAAUCCCCAUUUUUUAGUCAGUAGAGUCUGGUAAGUCCUGCACACCCCGACCUUGAUUUCUUCUUCGUCAAUCAGUGUAACCCCAUUAAUUUUCACCUUGGAUAAUAAAUUCCUUCUUGCCCUAGCAUUGGCCAUCUUAUGAAAAAACCUGGUGUUUUUUUCGUCUUCCUUUAACCAAAUUUCCCUAAAUUUUUGUCUCCAUGAAGCUUCUUCCAAUAAAGCCCAUUUUUUAUACUCCUCUAAAGCCUCUUUUCUAACCUCUGCCUCCUCGAUAGAAAGGGGAUUAACUCUCUCCUUGGAAUCCCAUAAUUGAACUCGAGAAAAGGCUUCUGAUUUCCUAAAAGGGACAUUGCUGAAAACUUCUUUAUUUGACACUCUAAGAUCUUUUUUAAGAGCUUUCAGCUUCUCAGCAAGGCAAUGACUACUACUCCCAACAACCGGAUACUUAAUCCACCACUUCCUCACUAACUCUUUGAAUCCAUCCGCUAACAACCACAUAUUCUCAAAACAGAAAGGGGUUUUGCCCUUUUUAACCCCUCCACCCCCUAGAGUGAUGGGACAGUGAUCAAAGGCAAUUCUGGGAAGAGUGCAUUGGAAGAUACCUGGAAAGUGGUCCUCCCACUCAUCGAAAACUAAAAAGCGAUCCAACCUUGAUGCAACUUGAGAGUUAGAGCCACCACACCACGUGAACAGGCCACUAGAAAGGGGUAAUCCUUCCAUCUCGGUUCCUCGAUGACUUCAAAGAACCUUCUCAUCUUUUCCGUCAAACUAAACUCAUUCCUCCUUUCCCCUGGAAAUCUAACAAAGUUGAAAUCCCCCCCCCCCCCCCCCCGUACACACCAGGGAUCGUCCCACAAACCUUUAAUUGCACCCAACUCAUCCCAAAAGUCCUUUUUUUCCCUUGAGAAGACUGGACCAUAGACACCAGUGAAUACCCAAACAAAACCAUCUUCCACAUUCCUAAAACGACCCGAGAUGGUGAAACCUCCACACUCCAGCUCCAGAAGAUCCAAAACUAUAUUGUCCCAAAAGAUCAAAAUGCCUUUGGAUGCUCUCCUAGCAUCAACUGCACCCCAAUCCAAAAACCUACCAACACCUAGACUUUUCACCACCUUUAAUGACAUCUCUUGCAUCUUUGUCUCAAUAAGACAAACCAAAUAUGCCUUCUGGGACCUAAUCACCAAUUUAAGCAGUUUACAUUUCUCCCUGUCAUUGAGCCCUCUAACAUUCCAAGAGAGGAUUUUGAUCUUCAUCAAUCCACCGAAAUUAGCUCCCAAUAGUUUAUGCCACUCCUUUUGGAUGCAAGUGCAGAAUCUCCAUAAUUGAUCGAACAAUCCAACCUCUUAAGCUCCCUUUUAGAGCGAGAAACGGGCACCGAUCUUCCUCCCUUUACAAGGGGUCCUACUACUAGCCUUCUUCCACAUCUUACUCAGCAACAAGUGGAUCUCUUUAUCACACCCCUCAAUCGGCAUUCCCAAAAAACUGCUAAACUCUUUGAACCUGGAGAGCUCCUUGUUGGAAAGCAAGCCCUCACCAAGAGAAACAUUUUCAGGGAAGACGACCUCUAAGCCAUCUGGCAAAACCAUAGACAGAGGCCCUUUCACAGCUUCAGCCCCUUUCUCGAACGCAUCGGGAGAAGCCAUCUCGGGGGAAUCACCCCUUACCUUCUCAAGAACACUCCCUCUAUAGUCCCCACCAACAAUAGCAAAACCCUAAGCCUAGAAGGAGAAGAAGGAGAAAAAGAAGAAUAAGGCCCUUCCCCUUAAGAAGUACAGGACGAAGAGAGCAUACCUUGGAAUUUGAGGACUUCUUCUAGAAGGACAUCAUCAGCUGAAGGCUUCAAAGUCACCACUGAAACCAUCAGAGUUGACGCGCAAGGAUUGGGGCCUUUAAAGGAGGCCAAUGCAGUCGACGAGCUACUAAGGUACCAAUCUGAAGGAAAAUAGCAAGGAAGAGGAGGAGAAAAUGAUCCAAAGACAAGCUUUUCCCCUCUCCUUAAAGGGCAGCCCCGACCCAAAUCUAAUUGGGCUUUAAAUAAAGAAGGCCUUUUAAGUUUAGCACCUUUCUCUGGGCCCAACAAAGUCUGGCCCAACACAGAAGAGCCCCCUCCAUUAAGCUCUAGCCCAUCACCUGUGGGGAGCAGACUGGUCUGUGCACUAGCAACUACUCCCAUCACAUCAAGGAUGGUGUCUUCUUCCCCUUUUGCAGAGAUCAGUGGAUCAUCCAAUGACACCAGGCUAAGCCCCCUUCACAAAAAGAACUUCAGCUACUCUCUGAGGGGCAUGUGACCCAUCCACGCCCUCAUCCCCUCCCCCCUUCCUUUGCAACACUGCAAGGGUUUCACCUCGCUCUUCCAUGGAGGAGUCUCCCACCACAGCUGGAUCGUGUAACUGGUGGAAACAACCACCACCUGCAGGGAACUGGGAAAGUUCCACCCUUUGGCUUUGACAAGAAUCCUAGCCCACAACAAAAACUUGCUUUCCGACGUAUCCUCAUCAACAGCCACAAGCUUCCCCCAAACUUUUGAACAGACUCUUCACCCAAAGAUGCAAAGGGAGACCCAGAAUUCUAACCCCACACCUCACAAAACUCCUUGUCCUUAGUGAGACACCCAACAAAGGGGUUCCACCAAUCCAAAAAGAGACUUUUUCCCCUAAACCACUUCACCCUUGUAUGAAGAACCCAUUCAGCUUUGCCAGUAUCUUCAAACUCAAAGAGGAUUAGGGGUCCUCCCAACAGAGCCAGGUGAAGAUUUCCUUUCAACCUCCAAACAGACUAAGCUUAGGGCUUAAGAGAGACGAGAUCAAAGAACGGGUCAGAGAGUCCCCCCCCCCCCCCCAUCUCCCCACCAAGCUCCUAUUCAGAACUUCCUCAUUACUGUCAAUCACUUCCUUUUCGAUUUCCAGCCACACCGCAUUACGAAGUUCAGCAGAGCUAGAAGUCUUUGCCUCUACCAUGGAGUACUCCUUCCCACCAGGGGCUUUAGGCUCUUCUCCCCUUUGGGCCAAGGAAAAACCCAAACUUCUCAACUUUCCAGCCAAGAGUUUCCAUCCCCCAACCACACCCCUUCCUUCGGGAAACACCAAGGAGAAUCUCUUGCCUUCCACAUCCCAAGCUGUGCAAAACAGAAAACGUCCUGCCUUGUUACUGCACAACUCCAACUGGUACCUUCUGCCCCCCUCCGCCCAAGAUUUUCUGAAACGAUCCCCUAUCUUGAGACUGUUGCAGGUCUCAGCCCCUUCCAACAGGAAGGCCAAACCUUUACCAC
rnacentral:lncRNA from 1 species